rnacentral:lncRNA from 1 species
CGACUGACCUCCGUCACCGCAAUAGGUGGAAUUCAAGUUGAGCACGGCGGGAACAUGCGUAGUUCCAUUAUUGAUGCCAGUGGGUAAUGGGUAAGCACUACCGAAAGAGUACUUGCUAAAGAUGAAAGCAGAUGCGCAUCUUUUGCUGUCAGGAUACAUGGCUGUCAUGUUGACAGUAUAGGAAGUGAAAUUUGCAGUAAUUAGAGUAACGCAGCCAGAUUCAGAAGCACCAUCGUCAGACCUUAGUUGAAUGCAGCCGCCAAGUGAAUCACCUUCGUUACUUAAAAUAGUAGCCAAAUUUCCAAAACCUACUGACCCGAAAUAAUUCAUGUCACUUGAGAAGAAAAAUGGAGUGCCUGAGAGAUCCACACUCACACUAGCCUUAUUACAGUUAAUAUAAGUAACUGGAUUAUUGAUGAGAAUGGCGUCUGAAUAUAUGGAAUCAAGUAUCUCCAGAUCGAUGCCAUUUACGUUUUUGAAUGGCUUUACCCCAUUGAGGGUUGGGUUGCAAGUCACUCUAAACCAAGGUUUAGUAUAGCAGGUGCUAUGGAUUCCAAAAGGGGAUGGAAUUGUAAUAUUUCCACAUGCUUCUUUACCACAGGCAGUUUCUUGAGAUUCUGAUGCUUGUAAUGUUGGGCACAACAGGAAGAGGAGUAGGAGGAUGAAGUAAAGCGGUAAGUGAAAACCCAUUUGCGUUGUUAUUUGGUUUGAGGGAAAUCAAUGAAGAUUUAAAGAAACAAAGGAUGUUUGAGUGAGAAGCAAAUGAAAAGUAUUUGGUCACACUUUCCUUGAAGUUCCAGUAUAAGUGCAUUUGAUUUGAGAAUAAUUCAUUAAUUUGCAAAGACUGUUGGAUACAAUUUUCCAGCUACACGUAAGAGGUCUCCAUUCAAAGAAAUAAAGGGAAGAGUAGGAGGAUGAAGUAAAGCGGUAAGUGAAAACCCAUUUGCGUUGUUAUUUUGUUUGAGGGAAAUGAAUGAAGAUUUAAAGAAACAAAGGAUGUUUGAGUGAGAAGCAAAUGAAAAGUAUUUGCUCACACUUUCCUUGAAGUUCCAGUGUAAGUGCAUUUGAUUUGAGAAUAAUUCAUUAAUUUGCAAAGAUUGUUGGAUACAAUUUUCCAGCUACACGUAAGUGGUCUCCAUUCAAAGAGUAGGUUACGUAUAAAGAGUUAAGAGACAAAUAAAAGGGAGAGUCGAGCCUUAUAUUCCUUCAAAUAUUUUUACAAUAGCAUUAAGAAAUAAGGAUAAUUUAUGUUUCUCCCUUCAAAACUUUUAAAUAUUUCAAAUCAUAUUGUAAAAUAGAAAGCUUGAUACUAUAGAUUAAAUAAAAUCAUUUUUAAAAUUUUAUUAGUUAAUAUUAAUUUAAUUAUAUUAAAAGUGGAUGAAAGAAGUGAUAAAUAAACUUAAUUUAAAAUGAAGAUAUAUGUGGUUAUAAUCAAUUUUAAUUAAUUUUGUACUUUAUUUUUAUAUACAUAUAUUUAUAUUAAUUAUUAAGUUUAUACAAUCCAAGUUGUCUAUAAAGCUAGAAGGGAGGAGAUAACAAAGGGUGAGCAUUAUCCUUAAUGAGUUAUAGCAAAGGUGAUUGUUCUUUACAACAACUUGAGAAGAAAAUCCGAGGAAUGCCACUUUUGACGCUGUACAUACUCCAUGUUGCGAGAGGUAAAAAUAGUGUCCCAGCACUAGUAGUACUGCAACCUGUAUAGAUAUAAGAAACAUUGUUAAAGAUGAAUUUGAAAAUUAAAAUACAGGCUAAAAAACCAUGAAAAUUUUUCAAUAAAGUUUCAUUCAUAUUUGAUAGCCAUUCAUUUAAUGAACAAUGAGACAACCUUUUUACAUCAUUCAAUUGUUUUCAUAUUCAAUUUUUAUAAAUUUAAUGAUAAAUAACAGUUAUUGCAUCACGCAUCUAAAAGUAAAUAAAUUACUAUUUAAAUUGACAUAAAUUAAAUAAUCAUAAUGAUUCCACUUUAAAAAUAAGAAGUGUAAAUUCACCACACACCUACAAUAAAAUUACGAGUGUUUUGAAUUUGUACUUUGCGCUCGCAACAAAAUCCCAUACUAUUGUAUUCAUAACGAGGAGGGCAAGACUUAUGAAUUGAAAAAAAGAAAAGCUAUAAUCAGUUAAAGUAUUGAAUUAAAUUAUCAUUUUCUCCUUAUUCCACUCACAUCAUGGAUGUGCCUUAAAUUUGUAUUAUUUUUUAAAGAGAUAAUUGAAUUGGUGUCACCCAUCAAUUGAGCCUUGACUUAAUUGAGAAAUUAUGAAAAUCCAUUACUUUUAUAAAAAAUAAGUAUUAUUAUAAAAGUAUUUUUUUCAUUUUAUAUAAUAAGAUUACUUGAGUUUGAUCUCGAAAAAAAUUUGAAUUCGACUCGGUAAAUCAAGCUAAAUUCGAGCUUAGUAAUGCUUGACUUGAAUAGCUUGCGAGUCUUAACGAUCUUUUCAUAUUUUUAUAUUAUUAAGUUAUGAUAAUUCUCUUAAUUAUCAAGUCCAGAUCGAGUUUAAGUAGCUUGAUUAUAUAUCAAGUGAGUUCGAACAUAGAAACAAAUGUUAAAUUGAACUCAAACCAAAUAUCGAAUUCUAAAUUUUAAGUCGAACUUAACAAUAUUCAAACUAGACUAAAUUACCCCACUACCCUCUACAAGCUAAUCAGUAUAGCAAGUAUCUGCCCCCGUAAAAGGUGCAAUGCACCCCAUUUGCUCUCAUGGCAUCUUCUUCCCUAAUUCAAUGUACAGUAGAAAUUUCCAAGGAAGAUUUGCAAAGAAAGACGAUAAUCUGAACAUUAUUGACAAUUUCCUCACAAUCAAGCUAAAGUUUUCCUAUUCAGAAGCUUUUAUGGAAGAGUCAGCUCUCCUCAUCACAUACAAUCUUUAUCAUAUGUAAGUUUUAUGAUGGGAAACCACUCAGAAACCUUCUUUCAAUAAUAAUAGGAAAACAUCCAAGCAAAGUAAUGAAUGCUUUUUCACUUGUUUGCCAACUUACUUUUUUAGUUUUUAGAGACAAGCAAAACAUGAUUCAUUGUUUCUUAAACUCGUCUAAUUAGACACGGUUUACGCCAUAUAUCAUAUAUGAUAACAAAAGAAUUCUUUCUAUGUGAAAAAACAAUAGUCAAUAUAUUAAAUAGACAUUGAGUAUUAAGCACAAAUUGCAGAUUUUAGUGAGACCGAAAUGUUCUCCAGUUUCAUCAAAUGACACAAAGCUAGAGGAAUAUGACCAGUCACUACACCAGAAUAGGCUUUUAGCGGCACUUUUAGCGGCGUUUUUAACAAAAGCGCCACAAAAAAUGGAGCAUUAGCGGCGAUUUAUACCAAGCGCCGGUAAAGGUCGCGCAUCCGCGGCGAUUUCAAACAAGUGCCGCUAAAACUAGGAAAUAGCGUCGUUUUAUAUAAAGCGCCACAAAAAAACUAAAGACCAACGACGUCGUUUUUGCGAUUUUUAAACCUUUAGCGGCGUUUUUAUUUGUGAGCCACUAAUGCUCGCAUCUAUAGUAGCGUUUUUAUCUGAGCGCAGCUAAUUCCCCGAUCUUUAGGGGCGUUUCUAUAUGAACGCCGCAAUAUCUCUGGUCUUUAGCGGCGAUUUUAUUUCAGCGCCGCUAAUGCUUGCAUCUUUAGUGGCGUUUUAUUCUGAGCGCCACUAAUGCUCUUUGCAUUUAGCGGCGAUUUUGUAUAAGCAUCGGUAAUGCUCGGAUCUUUAGUGACGUUUUUAUCUAAGCGCCAGUAAUCCUCCGGCUUUUAGCGGCGUUUUUAUCUAAGCGCCGCUAAUUUAUUACCUUUAGCGGCGUUUUUCCUGAUGCGUCGCUAAUAGUAACAAAAAUCUUAUGAGUUGAAAUAAUUAAUAUUUUGUUAUUAUGUGGUACAAUUUACAUCUAAAUUAUAAUUAAAAAAUAUUAUUGAUUAAUACAAAAAGUUUUUAUUAAAGAGAAGUCGUAUAUGUAUAUAACAGCUAACUAUUUAUUACUAAUUUUCAAUCACUACAGUUGAUUUAAACUACUUUAUUACGAGACAAAAUAUAUUAAAUUAUGAAUAAAAAAUAUAAUAAAACUUAAAUUUUUGUAUUGUAAAGAAUAAAUUAAAAAUAGAAAUUAACUUUUGUAAGAGUAAUAAAUUUUGGUAGUACUGUUCGACUAAAUAAAUCAAAGGAAUUAAUAUAAAUUAAACACCAAUUUAUACAAAAUAUAUUUUAUGAUUAUAUAUAUAUUAAAGAUUUAUGGAAUUUUUUUAUGGACGGUAUUUUAAGAAGUUCGGGGUAUAGAUUUAAGGUUUAAGAUUUAAGGUUAAUUUAGGGUUAGAGGUUUAGGGGUUUGAGAUUUAGGGUUUCAACGGUCAUGUGUUAGGAUUUAAUUUAGAUUAAUAUUAGUUUUUGAUUAUUUUUUAUGGUAAAUAUAUAUGUUAUUAUAUAUUUGUAAAAUAAAUCCAGAUCAAUAAAUUUAAUAUAUUGAAGUUUAGUAUAGUUUAUAUUAUAAUUAAUAGAUAUAUAUAUAUAAUAGCCUUUACCGGCGUUUUAGUGAAAAACGCCACAAAUAUUGCAAUAUACGACGUCGUUACGCGUUAGGGAAUCAGUUUCUAUUGUGGCGUUUUAUAGAGAAGCGCCGCUAAUAGUCUUGAAACUCUGUCAGAACGGCGUCGUUUCAGUUGAAUGAUGUACUCUAUUACUGGCGUUUUUUUGGGAAAACGCCGCAAAUAUGUCAACUAUUUUGUGAAAACGUCAUCGUUUCUUUCUGUUGUUGAAAAUUUAGUGGCGUUUUUACGCAGAAACGCCGCAAAUGUGAGUUAUAAUUAAUUUAAACGGCGCCGUUUCUUUACAGGCCAUUUAACCCGUGUCCUCAUGUUUUACGAAUUUAUUAUCGAAAAAAAAUGCAUUUUAUAUACAAAAUUUUAUUAAAAAAAUUGUAUUUUAUAUAAAGAGACAAAAUUUGUUGUACCAAUUAAGUUUAUUAUAACAAAUUUUUUUUCCAUUUGUUAAGAGGACAUUUGAAGCUUCAUACGAAAUUUUGUCAAACAUAAUAUUGCUACCUUAUUUCAACUUUAUACAACUUUUUUAACUAUAUAUAUAUAACUUGUUGCUUAAUAGAUUUUCACUAUAUUUUUUAUUAUAUAUUAAAGAAUAUUUAUGGAAUAUUUUGGUCGAUGCAUGGUCGUAUUUUAAGGAGUACAGGCCGGUAUAUAUGAAUUUAAGGUUUGGUAUUUAUGGUUUAGGAGUUAGGGGCUGGGUUAUGCUUUAGGGGUUAUAGACGUGAAUUUAUGGGUUAGGGUUAAGGACAGGGUUAAUUAGGGUUUAGGGGGAUUUAAGGGUUAGAGGUUUUAGGGGUUUGGACAGGGUUUAUGGUUUCUUAAGAGGUUAAUUAAUAUUAGAUUGAUUAAAUUUGGAGGUCAAUAUAUAUGUUUUGAGAUAAAUUUAAUAUUAAGAUAAGUUUUGAGUAUAUAGGUAGAUGAUCUCUUUAUGCAUGUAGCUACAUAUAUAAAUUGAUUGGUUAAUAUGAAGAUUACAAGGUUAAUUUAUAAUUUGAGACUUGUUAAAUGAUACAAUAUAACUAAUAUAUACUAGUUAUAUAAUUAAAAACAUUUAACCCAAAUUAACGGCCAUUUGAUAUAUUUUUUGAUAUAUAUAUAUGGAUAUAUUAAUUAUAUAUAUGGAUAUAUAGAUAUAUAGAUAUUAAUUUAAGAAUUUGUAUAUAUAGGACCAAAAUAAUAUUGGUAUAAAUAAAUAAACAAAUAAAUAAGUAAGUAAUUAUUUAUUUGUUAAAUAAAUUGGUAAUUAAUUAUUUAAAUGUAAGAGAAAAAAAAUGAGAGUUUUAGCGGCGUUUCUAUAUAAAAACGCCGCAAAAGGUAUCCUUUACCGUCGUUUCAUUCAAAAAUGCCACAAAGAUUACAAUAUACGACGUCGUUACGUGUUAGGGAAUCAGUUUCUAUUGUGGCGUUUUUACACAAAGCGCCGCAAAAUUUACAUAACUUUACUUAAACGGCGUCGUUUCUUCAGAGGACAAAUUAACUCUCCUUCAGUGUCGUCCUCCAUUUACAGCAACUGGAAAUCACAGAGAAAUUAGGAGAGAACUUUUCUAAGUGUCGAAAGGGGGGAAAACUUUUCACGAAAAUACAAAGGAAAGAAACGUGCGAGCGAGUCGAUCUUGAAACAAGGUGGGCACAGCUGCGAGAUUUCUCCAUUGAAUAGGUAUGCCGUUUCUGUUCUUUUUUGAUUAAAAUUUUUGGGAUUUAGGUCAGUCUAAGUUAAUUGGGGUUUUAGGGUUUCGAUUAUAGAACAUUAAAAAUGUGGAUUUUGGGUUUUUGGUCAGUCUAAGUAAAUUUAGGGUUUCUUUCCGUGUUGCCUUAAUGCGUUGUUGCUGCUUCUUCCUCCUUCCUUAAACCCCUAUCCGACCCGAUUUGUGGAUUUCUGGUGAUAAUCCGCAAAGUCUUUUAGAAAAGCCGUACAAAUGCUUUUUGUAUGUGCUGCGAAUUAAUGUCAAAACACAGUAUUCAAUAUAGUUAAUCAUGAUUUAUUUUGAGAAAUCAUUAUUAAAAUUAUGGUGUUCGUUUUGUUUGAAUCAUCGAUUUCUUUAAUAUCCUUGCCUAUUCUGUUAUUCCAGCAUCCAUUUAAGGGGAAAUGUAUUAUUUCUUCAAUCCAUUACUGAAAUUGUUUGUUUAAUUUACUUUCAUAUUACUUUCAUAUUACUGGUUGAGUAAGUAAAUGUGUGAAUGUUGUUUGAGUAAUGCUUUUUCGGUAUUGAACUGGGUUGUUUGAUGUUAGACUUAAUUUAGGCAUACAAUAUAAUCAAUUUGGAAAAACGAUAGGUAGGCCACAUCAAUUCAGUAUUUACUGGAGAGAAUUUGUUAUGCCUAGUGUGCAUUAUCUGCGUAAUGUGAAUUCAAUUUGUAGUUAAGUUCGGUUUUGGUUAAUUUAUGAUUUAAAUAUAUCUUUAUUGUUGCUUAAUCAUGCUGUCAUAUAAGUAUAUGGUGUACUAUAUAUAUAUAUAUAUAUAUAUAUAUUGGUGAUGUUUAAUAUAUGAAAUUCGGCAUAACUUAUAAGUUAAAAUGUUUGUCAUAUGUAUUAAAACAUAUAUAAUACUUAGCUAUUUCACAUUGGUUAGGUGAUAUAUAUAUAUAUAUAUAUAUGUGUGAAAUGUAUGAUAUGCCUGAAUUUAACUAAUAAUUAAAUAUAGGUUAUGAUUUAUAGAUUGAAAUAUGCAAAGGUUGACUAGUACUUAUAACAGGUUUGCUAUUUAGAAAACAGGCUGUUAUUAGUAUUUAUAUUUGCAUUAUUUGCCUUUAAAUCUACUUUAUUUUCAAAACGUCCUUAACGAAACUGUUGCUAAUCAAAUGGGUAGCAAUUUUGACAAAAAUUGAGCCCCAUUUAAUUUGUCACCUUCUGACGUGGGGUGGAUUUUAUAAAUAUCUGCUUUAUAGCGUUGGGAAUAGAAUGAGUACCUUAUUACUUCAUCAAGCUGAUCAGUUUUGAUGAUAGGUUAUAAGCUGAUGUACGACUUAAAUGAUAUGGGUUUAAAUCAUUUAUGCAUUUAGGUUUUUUAGGGUUUUUAGUUUAGCUAACUUUGUGAGUAUCCUAUCCUGUUUUUUUUUUUAAGUUUUUUGGCUUCAAUUACUUCUGGUUUUUCGAUACUAAUGUAUUUCUGUCUUUUUGUUCCAGUAUUUGCUUCGCAAUUGAGGAAAUUUAAGGUAUUUAUUCCUAUGUUUCUCUAUUUAGUUUUCUUAUAAAAAAAAGUCAAAUUGUUAAAAAAAAAAUUUCUGUUAUUUUUUAGUUUUAUAGUUUAAUUAUUAUUUCUCAUUUUUAGAAGGGAGUUUCAAUUACCAAUUUAGCUAAAUUUCCAUUUCACUUUGCAGCUUAUUACAUUAUUUGAUGUUUAAAUUUAAGAAUUGCUAUUCGGCAAAGGCAAUUGUUUUAAACUAUUAAAAUUCGGAAUACAACUCUUAAACAACUACAUAUAUUUGAGUAAUUGAAUAAAUUAUGGGCGAAUCGUUUAAUCGGUUGAGCGUUUGCAAAUCAUCGAUUUCCGAUAUUAUGUGUUGCAAUUAUAAAUUUUACUUCAAAUUAAUGACUGAUUAUCGAUCUUAUAUUUGCAACUUGGUUUUAUGUUAAUGAUUAAUAAUCUCGGACAUACAAAUAGAUUUGUAUAUUUAUUUAUAUUUUCUACUAAAAUAAAAAAAUACUUUUUCGAAAUAUAUUUAUUUUGUAAUGGCAAUUCAAAGUAUUAUUUCUUUAAUAACAAAAAUUGUUUUCAUAAAUAUAAACAAAUUAAUUAUAUCUUGUAAUGUGAAGUCAAUGUUAAAUUUUUUUUACUGACAUAAUUUGUUCUUUGAUUUAAUAAAAGCUAUAAAACAUAUAUCAUAUCGUAACGAUAUUUGAAUUAUCCGGAGAUUAAAGCUACAAAAGUAUAUUUUAAAUGAAAUGUAUUCAAAGUUAUAUUUUAAAACAUCUUUGAUAUAUAUAUUUAUAUAAAGUUUUAAUAUAUUUAUUAAAAUUAUAUAUAUACUUGAAAAAUUUAUCAAUCAUAUCAUAAUUUACAUACAUAACACAUAGCCUACAUGACUUACUUAAUACACAACUUAAAUAAUUUAAAUAACUUACAUAAUACAUAACUUACAUUCAUAACUUACAUAAACUUAUAUGUUAAUACAUAACUUAUAUAAAAUUUUUAUAUAAACUUACAUAAUACAUAGCAUACAUAACAAAUAUAAACAAAACUUACAUAACUUAAAUAUAUUACACAACUUACAUAACCUACAUAAUACAUAACUUACAUAACUUACAUAACCUACAUAAUACAUAACUUACAUAACUUACAUAAUACACAAUAACUUACAACUUACAUAACAUACAUUAAUUUGAUAACUUACAUAAGUUACAUAAUACACAAUAACUUACAACUUACAUAACAUACAUAUUUAUGAUAACUUACAUAGCUUACUUAAUACAUGACUUACAUAACUUAUACUCGUACAUAACUUACAUAAUUUACUUAAUACAUAAAUUAUGUAACAUAUGAUAUACCUACAUAACUCAUUUAUACUUACCACUGAACAACUUACCCUUGUAAUUUCUGGUGAAAAUCAGACUUCAAGACUGUAAAAAAUGGACCGGUCUUGGAUGAAUUUGUCAAGGGUAAGCGACGGUUAUCGAAAUGGAGUACAGACAUUUCUAAAUUUUGCAUUUCAACAUGCAAGCCAAGAGAACAUGAUUCUUUGCCCGUGUAAUAAGUGUGUCAACAUAAACUGAAAUUAUCGUGAAGUUGUAUACGAGCAUCUAAUUGUUGAUGGGUUUUUUCGGGGUUAUAAACAAUGGCUUUUUCAUGGAGAAUGCCCGCGUAGUACUUCCUCUUCAAGGAUGGAUGUAUCCUAUGAUAGUACUGCUUACCAUCAGACUUUUAGAGGGGAUGACAUGGAAGGGAUGUUGCGGGAAGCAUUUAAUAUUCAUAGUCAUGGUGGACAAUCGUUCCCACCCGACUUUGUGCCAUCUGAUGAUUGUAAUCUCGGUGGAAAUGCUUUUACCGAACCCGGAAGCAGUGUACAUCAUGAAGAGCCGAAUGGAGAAGCGGCAAAGUUCUACGCGCUACUUAAUGACAUGAACGAAGAACUGUAUGAGGGAUCAAAAUUCUCAAAAUUGUCUUUCUGUAUUCGUCUUUUUCAGUUAAAAUGUUUGGGAGGGUGGACCGGGAACUCUUUGACAGUGCUGUUAGAGUUUUUGAGAGAAAUGUUUCCGUUUGCAAAAAUCCCUCAAUCAUGCAAAGAUAUGAAGAAAAUGAUAAAAGAUUUAGGUCUUGGGUACACCAAAAUUCAUAGUUGCCCAAAUGACUGCAUGUUGUAUUGGGGCGAUCGGAGAAGUCAACAAUGCUGUCAUAUAUGCGGCCAAUCACGUUGGAUAAAUAGAAACACAAAAUAUGGGAACGACGAUGAAAAUGUUGCACAACCAAGACAAAAGCCGGUUAAGAUUUUAUGAUAUUUUCCGCUGAUACCAAGGCUUCAAAGGCUUUUCAUGUCAUCGAAGACAGCGGAGUCUAUGACGUGGCACCAUGACGGACGAACCGAUGAUGGGAAGUUGAGGCAUCCGGCAGAUUCUUUAGCUUGGAAAUCAUUUGACAAUAAAUUUCCAAGCUUUGCAAGCGAUCCUAGGAGUGUGAGGCUUGGGCUAGCAUCUGAUGGAUUUAAUCCUUUCAAGAUCAUGAGUACCACGUACAGUACUUAGCCAGUUGUGCUUGUUCCUUACAAUUUGCCUCCGUGGAGUUGCAUGAAGCAAUCUUCCCUUAUUUUAUCUAUGAUUAUCCCUGGUGAGAAAGGGCCCGGGAAUGAUAUCGACAUUUAUUUACAGCCACUUAUAGAUGAGUUAAAACAGUUAUGGGCUGGUGUCGAGACAUACGAUGUGGUGAGAAAUGAGAACUUUAAUUUACGUGCAGCUUUGAUGUGGACCAUUAAUGACUUUCCCGCUUAUGCCAAUUUAUCCGGUUGGAGUACCAAGGGUCGUUACGCAUGUCCUUGUUGUGCUGCACAAACAUGUUCGCAAUGGUUAUACAAUGGGAAAAAGUUCUCUUACAUGGGGCAUCGUCGGUGGUUACCGGAAAAUCAUAGAUUUAGAUUUCAGAGUUCAGUAUUUGACGGUACCGAAGAGUUCAGAGAAGCUCCUUCGCAGACAAGUGGAUGUGAUAUCUUGUUCAUGUUGAAAGAUAUAAAUUUCAGUUAUGGAAAGAUGAACCACCCGGCGAACACGCAAAUAAAUAGAAGAUCAAAUGAUGAAGCUGAUGAUGACUCCGAUGAAGAGGAUGAUCCCAAUGAGGCAGACUUGUGGAAAAAGAGAAGUAUUUUUUUUGAGUUGCCUUAUUGGGAGCAUCAGCUUUUACGACACAAUCUUGAUGUUAUGCACAUUGAGAAAAAUGUCUGUGAGAACAUUGUCGGUACAAUUUUGAAUGUAGAUGGAAAAUCGAAAGACAAUCUUCAGAGUCGACUUGAUUUAGUCGAAAUGGGAAUUCGACCUGAUCUUCAUCCAAAUCCACUUCCUAAUGGGAAAUAUUAGUUGCCGCCUUCAAUUUUUUCAAUGUCGAGGAUAGAGAAAGAAGUGUUCUGUACGGUGUUGAAGGAUAUAAAGGUUCCUGAUGCGUAUGCAUCAAAUAUAUCUCGAUGUGUUAGUGUUAAAGAUCGAAGACUGUAUUCUCUAAAAUCACAUGACUAUCACAUCUUGAUGCAAGAUUUACUGCCAGUUGCUCUACGAUGUUGUAUGUCGAAGAAGGUGACGUCUUGUAUAAUUGAACUAUCCAAUAUAAUGAAAGACAUUUGUGGCAAAGUGCUGGAUGUUCAAGAACUUCAGAAGGUACAGGAUAGAGCCGCAUUGACUUUAUGCAACAUGGAGAAAAUCUUUCCACCUUCCUUCUUCACUAUUAUGGUUCACUUGAUAAUCCACCUCCCGGGAGAAGCAAUUCUCGGCGGACCCGUUUUGUACCGAUGGAUGUAUCCCAUAGAAAUGUGUUAAUUUAUGUUAAAAACUCUCCUUCCGUAAACCCUAUAUGCAUUUAAGUACAACUUUUCAUAACAUUAUUUCGUGUUUAGGUUCCUAUCCAAAUUAAAGUCUUACUGCCGCAACAAGCGUUAUCUAGAAGGAUCGAUUACUGAAGCCUACUUAGCAGAUGAAUGUAUGACAUUCUGUUCGCGAUACUUGGAUGAUGUCGAAACAAGGUUGAGCAGACCAAAUAGAAAUGCUGGACUCACGGAUCAUAACUUGGCCGAUACUUAUUUGUUCGAAAGUUUUGGAGAAGCAAUCGGCAAAGUGGAAAUUGCAGAAUUAGAUGGUUUUUCGUGGGUACAAGCACAUCGGUAUGUUCUGUUUCACCACGAAUCAAUGGAACCUUUACGCAAGUAAGUUCUACAAAUUUGAUAAAUAUUCAUCAAUUAAAAAUUGUUUAUAUUCUAACAAGCUGAACAUAUAUUUUAUACAUAGUGAGUACAAACAAAUACUGAGAUCUCGUGCGCGCUCCCGAAGAACACAACUUCGAGACAUCAAUAAGUUGUUCAUUGAAUCUUUCUAUGAAUGGUUAACCCAAACGGUAUGCAAUUGUAGCUUUCAUCGACAUAUAAUAAUAAUCUUCUCUCAUAACAUCGCUAAUUACUCAGUUGACUUUCCAUACAAUAGGUUUGGAGUGGGAAGAACGUGACCGACGAAGUUAAAUGGCUUUCUCAAGGUCUAGAUCGGGUGGUUAAAAGAUUUAGUGCGUUUCUCAUAAACGGCUUCAGAUUUCAUACAAAAUAUCGCGAGAGAUUGAGGAGAACGCAAAAUUCUGGAAUAGUUGUUAAUUCCUCAAUUACUAGUUAUGCUAGUGCUAGGGACAACAAUCCUGUCGAGGGAAAUGUCGAAUAUUUCAGACUUCUUACUGAUAUAAUUGAGUUGGAUUACUACGGAAAAUGGAAAGUUGUCUUAUUUCGAGGUGAUUGGGCCGAUGUUAAUACUGGUCGUGGAAUUAAGCAAGAUCAAUUUUGUUUCACAAUGGUGAAGUUCAAUCGAUUGAUUCAUACAGGACAACAAUUGAUUGAUGAGCCGUACGUAUUUUCUUCUCAAGUCAAACAAGUAUUUUACUCAAAAGAUCCAAUUGAUGAGGGUUGGUACGUUGUACUCCGUAACAUCUCUAAGGACUUGUUUGACAUAGGCAGUGGAAGUAGAGAUGGCGUUGACGACAGAACAGAAACUUUGCCAUUUCUAGAACAAAACUUAAAUGAAAACAUCCCUAGUACUAGUACACACAGUCAAUGGGUCCGCCAGGAUACGGAUGAAGAUAUUUAUGGAUUAUAAUAUAGUAAGCUUUUACGAUUAUUUAAUCAUAUGUAAUAUCAUAUCAUAAUAUUGGUCUUAAUAUAUAUUUGAACUAUUUUAAACAUAUUAUUAUUGUUGUAAUUGUAUAUUAAGUUUUCAACUAAUUAUUUUGUAUUGCAGAUAAAAUGCCUAGAAGACCCGUUCGAGCGCACCGCAUUGUUCAAGGUACUCCAAACUCGACCGAAACAAACAGCACUGAACAACAAACUGCUAUUGGAUCUUCGAAUGUUCCGGUCCCACAUGACGAACCUAUAGAAGUUGAAACUAAUUUAACUUCUAACUUACAUGUGUGUUCACUUAUUAUUUAUUUUAUCUUUUAAAUUUCUUAUAUUACAAUACUUUUAUUUUCUAGCUGAAACUGUCGGGACGCGGAGAGUUCGCGGACGUACUCUACUGAGGGAUUUAUACGAUCUAGAUCCAAUCGAGCGUGUCCAAGUAUCCAGUAAUAGCUUUGGUCAGCCUAUUGGAUCAGAAGCUCGCCUUUUAGCAGGAUACAUGGGCAUUCUAGCACGGAAUCCAAAUAUAUUGCCAAUUAACUUCGAGUCAUGGUGCAAAGUGCCCGAGAGUAACAAGAACCAAGCUCUCGAUAACAUUAAGGUAACAAAACGUGUAUGUCAUUUAUAAUACUUGGGUUUAAGUUUCGUUUACAUUUAGUUUCUAUAUAAAAACAAAACGUGUUUUUUGUAGGCGAGAUUUGCUCUAGAGGUCUCCGAUGCUUAUCUAAAGAAGGCAUUAGGAAAAAAGUGGAGAGACCAUAAGAGCACAUUAAAGAAAGAAUAUUUUAAGACAAAGACAACAGUCGAUAAGAAAUUAGAUAAUGUUCCACCGGGAAUGCUUAGGUACCAGUGGGAAGAGGUCGUUAGAUUUUGGACUUCGAAGAAAUGAGAGGUAUGUGUUACUACAAAAAUCUUGUAAUUAUUUUGGUUUAUAGUAUUUAAUAAUUAACGUACUAAUAAUUUGAUAACGUAGGAUCGUGAACGAGUUGGAACAAGUAAUAGGCAGAAACAAAAAUUCACGCACACAGCUGGGUCGAGAAGUUUUGCGUGUGUAGCUCAGGCUGAGGUAUUUUGGAUUUAUACGGUACUGGCAGAUAUUUAUUACUUUAUAUCAAAUAAUAUUUUUACUAUUGUAUUGCAGGAAGUGCUGUCGGGUCAAAAAAUUGGACGCCUUCAACUUUUUGACAUUACACAUAGGAAGAAAGAUGGAAACCCUUUGACUCCUGAAGCUGCAGAAAUUAUGGUACGUUCGCUUAAUACAAUUUGACUUGUUUUAAUUAUUUUUACUGUUCUAAUGGUUUAUUUCAUUUCUUCUAAUGAAAAUAUUGUUAAGGGAUAUUGCAUUUGUUUUUUUAAUAUAUUCCUUUCUUAACUAUGUCAUUUAAUUUUUAGGAAAAACUGAAGGACAAAAAGGCGGAGUACGAAGCGAUUGCUUCAAGUGAUAGUUCUGUUCAUAUCGACGGCAUUGAUAACCGGAUUAUCACUGAAGUUUUGGGUCCUGAAAGGUAUGGUCGGGUUCGAUGUCAACGAUCUUUUGUUAGCCCAUCCCAAUAUUUUGGAUCCAGCUCGCAACGAUACAUGCAUUCGGGGAGUCAGGCUCAAGCUGAAGUUCAAAGGUUAAGAGACCAGAUAGCUCAGAUGCAAGCGACAACAAGUGAACAAAUUACACAACUUAAAGCGGAGGCAACAUCGAGAGAAGCUGAGGUUCAAAAAAGAUAUGAAGAACUCCAGCUACAACUUAAAGCAGAUGCGGCAACGAGAGAAGCAGAGGCAGCAGCGAGAGAAGCUGAGGUUCAACGAAAGUAUGAAGAACUCCAGCGGCAGCUUAAAGCAGAUGCAGCAACGAGAGAAGCAGAGGCUGCAGUGAGGGAAUUAGAGGCUAAAACGAGGGAAGCAGAACAGCUUAAAAAGUUCGAUGAACUCCAACAGCAGCUUCAGAAUAUGAUGAAGAUGUUUCAGCAGUCGCAACCACCUUCGUCUUAGAUUAUCGUGUAAAUAUACUUCAAUUUGACUUUUACAAUUUUUGUAAGAAUAAUGUGAAUUUUAAUUUAUUUAUUGACAUUUAUUUUAAAUAUUAUAUAGAUGUAUUACUUUUGGCUGGAUUAGAUUUGGUUUAUUCUGAUUUUUUUUACAAGAGGGCUGAAAAUAUAAAAAAAAAAAUUCAAAUCUGCCAACAUUAGCGGCGUUUCCUGGAUAAGCGCCACUAAAAACACAGCCUAUUGUGGCGUUUUUUUUGCAUAAGCGCCGCGAAAGAUCCCCGUCUGUAGUGGCGUUUUUAGACUAAGCGCCGCAAAAGAACCCUAUCUAUCGUGGCGUUUCUUGCAUAAGCGCCGGAAAAGAACCUUAUCUAUCGUGGCGUUUCCUAUUGAAGCGCCGGAGAAGAACCCUAUCUAUAGUGGCGUUUCUUGUAUAAGCGCCGGAAAAGAACCCUCUCUCUAGUGGCGUUUGUUGUACAAGCGCCGCUAUAGAACCCAAGCUAUAGUGGCGUUUUUUUGUAUAAGCGCCGCUAUAGAUCACAUCUAUAGUGGCGUUUUGAGUAUAAUCGCCGGAAUAGACCCACCCUCUAUAGUUGCAUUUUUCGGAUAAGCGCCGCUAGAAAGGCCGAUCUAUAAUGGCGUUUUGUAUGUAAGCGCCGCUAAAGAGCCACAUCUAUAGUGGCGCGGCAAAAGAAACGCCGUAAUAGGUCUUCAUCUAUAGCGGCGUUUAUUAGAAGAAGCGCCGCUAUAGUUAGCGGCGCAGUCAUUAGCGGCAUUUUUUGCGGCGCUUAUAGAAGCGCCGCUAAAAGUAUUUGCGGCGCAAAGAAACGCCGCUAUAGCCCUAAAAAAGCGCCGCGAAAAGCCUGUUUUGCUGUAGUGAGUAAUACUAUUAUUAGUGAGGGAUAAAAGGCUGAUCUUAAGGUAUUUAACUGUAACCUUCUUAACUCGGCCCGUAUGUUAUGGCCGAAUUUUAAAGACUACAUUGGUCACUGAAAUAGCCUCAUAGAACCAAUUAGAUUUGAAAACGUUUUUUUACUAACUUUUAGAAAACUUAAUGCAACUGCCUUGGGAUUAUCAAAAUGCCAGAUUAUUAAGUCGAGUUAACUUAAGAGUCCAAUUUAAGAAGUGUUGUGACAUUUUGAGAUAAACUUAGUCGAUUUUUGUUUUGUUGAUUUGCCUUUUUAAAGUGAAACCAUCAGUCUUACCACUGUAUGUUUUUUAACAAAGAUUCAGGUCACCCAACUCUAACACAUAUAAAUAAAUUUUAUAAUUAUAAUUGUAAAAAUUUAUAUAACUUAUUAAUCAAAUAAAAAGUUAUAUAACAUAAUGAAAAUAAUUUUAAUUAAAUUUAUUUAAAAAUAUAAAAUUAAUUUAACAUUUUAUAAUUUUAUAAUACCACGUCAUUAGAACUAAUAUAUAUCCUCAAUAAAUUAAAAUUCACAUGUGAAAGAAGACAAUAUUAUAAACAAUUGAGCCAAUGUUUUUGGUUUCAAAAUCUUUUGUGGAAAAAUCCGCACUUCAAUGGUGAUGAGUAGCGAUUACAUACUACCUUUAAUUAAAGGAGGCAAAAGCUGAUCCGUGUAUUGAAUACUUUCCCAUUUGUUGCAACAUACUAAUACUAUAGAUAUAGAAAACAAAACGUGAUGAAUGAUGAAUGCUUUUCAACCUACUUUACUGGGAUUCCAUACUGUAUAUGUUUUUCUUUCUAUGCCAACAACAGUAGUCAAUGUGCCCUGCUUUAUUUGUGGACCUGCUGCUGUAUUUUCAUCUUAAAGUAAGAAUUAAGAGUUGUGUAAAAUGACUAACUUUACGUGUGGGGUUUUAUGAUGGGAAACCACUCAGAAACCUUCUUUCCAUAAUAAUCGGAAAACAUCCAAGCAAAGUGAUGAAUGCUUUUUCACUUGUUAGCCAACUUACAUUUUUUUUUUUAGCUUUUAGAGACAAACAAAACAUGAUUAACUGUUUGUUAGACUCGUCUGAUUAAACACGGUUUACGCCAUAUACCAUAUAUGAUAACAAAGAAAUUCUCCAAUUUGAUCCACUCUUGUGCUUUCUUUCUAUGUGAACAACAAUAGUUAAUAUAUUCAAUUUCAUGAAACUCCGAUAAAAUUACUGCAAAAGUUUAUCGAGAAUUAAAUUUUUUUAUAGCGAUUUUCAUACGGAAAAUUCUAAUUCAAGAGUUUGAGAAGUCAUUGCUGGGCUUUUGGCAGUUAAUAGGUUUUGAAUGAGCUUGUCUUAAGUUGAAAGAGAGGAGAAAUUGAGAUUUUUGGACUAAAUUGCAAAGUUGCUUCAUCUACCAUGGAUUAUUGGGCAAAACUAGUGAGAUAUUAAGGGUUCUAUUCCCGAUACAUGGAGAUAGUUCUUUCUUUCAUUUGGAUUAAGGGCUAAAUUACAAAUUUCUCCAAGAAUAGGAUCUUUCAAUAAACAAUCAACACAAGAAGGGAUUGAGCCACUUUAUUUAUUUUGGGAAAGCGAUGUGUACUCCAGUUCCAUCAGAUGACACAAAGCUAGAGGAAUACGACCAGUAAAACUAUUACUAGUGAGGGAUAGAAGGCUGAUGUUGUUCAAAAUUUAAUCUUGAAGGAUUCAACUAUAACCUUCCUAACUCGGUUCAGAUGUUAUGGUUUGGUUCCGUUGAACCAAUUAAAUUUGAAAACAUUCUUUUUAACUAACUUUUAGAAAGCUUAAUGUAACUGCCUUGGGAUUAUCAAAACGUCAUAUUAUUAAGUUAACUUAAGAGUCCAAUUUAAUAAGUGUUGUGACAUUUUGAGGUAAACUUAGUUGAUUUUUGUUUUGUUGAUUUACCUUUUUAUAAAUUUCCAAUUCCAUUAUUACGUAGUGGAAAAAGUGAAACCAUCAAUGUAUUUUCUUUAACAAAGAUUUGGGUUAUACAACUUUAACAAAUACAAAAAAAUUUAUAAUAAAAGAUAUAAAUAAAACUUAUAUAACUUAUUAAUCAAAUAAAAAGUUAUAUAUAUAUAUUUAUAUAUGUAGUCAAUUUUAUAAUAACUUAUUGAAAGUAUAUAUUAUUGGUAUGUUUCAUGUCUAUAUUACGAUCUAUGUUUGGAGUAUAUGACUACCUCUUCCAACAAUAUCGUCUUCAAGGUUUGAACACUACUCUCUCUUUCAAAUGUAAUAUACUUUACCACUACGCUCAACACUUAUUGAUAGCUUAUCAAAAAAUUUAUAUUUUUUUAUGAUGAAAACUAAUUUGAAAAUCCAUAAAACCAAUUAAUUUUCAUCAUAAAAAAUUAAAAUACAAUGUUAUUUAAAUCGAACUAUUUGGUUGAAUUAAAAAUAGGUCGAAAUUUCGAUUUAGAGGAAGGUAAAAAAAUCAGUUAACCUAUGAAUUGAACUAAAAAAAAGUUUAAUUGCUUGAAUUGUAUUUUAUAUUUAUCAAUAUUUUUAUUUUUAUAGUUUUUUAAUAAUUUAUUUAAUUUGCAGUUAACAUACUAAAAAUGGACGAUGUAAUUGAUUCGAUCACUUAUCCAUUCCAAGGUUAUGUAAUAUUCAACUUGAAUCGGAAGCUUUUUGAAAUUAUGUAUUAAGAUAUUCAGCUCCAAAUUGAUUUGAUUGGUUAGAGAGUUGUUGACAGAGCAGUAAUGGCGUCGGGGAAAAUGGCGAUAAAGGAUAUGUUGGAUUCUGUUAAUAUCUCGUGCUUUCUUUAUUUGUUCUCGCUCAAUAAAGGCUUACUAUUACUAUGAUGAGUUACUUACCUCUUCUUAUUUCAUCUUCAGAUAUCAGAAGAAGAAGAAGGUCCAGGAUGAAGAAGAGCAAAAGGAGGUCUUUUUUUAUUAACGAUUUCAUCGACAUAGCAAAAGGAAAAGAAAAACAUAUCCAGAACUUGUAUGAUAAAUACCUUCAAGCGAUCAAAUAACAUUGAGUGAAACAAGUAUGAAUUCUUGGGCAACCACAAGACUCCACCAGUGUGACAAACAGAGAAGCUAAAGGCUAUCAAUCUAAGAGAAAUUGUUUCAGGAGUGUUGGAAACUAGAAAGAUGAAUUUAAUGGAAAAGUUACACUGUUGGUUGUAACUGUCCUAGACGUUGAACAACUUGGAUUGGUCUCCCAUGAAUGGAUUAUGUCAUCUAUUUCAGAUUCUUCAUCACCAUGGGCUUCAAUAACAUUUCCACCAGAAGCGUUAAUCGACUCCAGCUCCAUUGCUACUUGUUUCAUGGUGGGUCUUUUCUUUCCAUUAAGAUUCAAGCAUCUUUUUGCUAGCAGAGCCACUACUAUAAUCUCCUUUUCUGGACCAUCCUUUACUACCAUUGGAUCGAGAAUGUUAAAUAAGGAAUUCUCCUGCAUUGACUGCAAAAAAUAAGAUACCAAGCUUCUCACUGACUCUGAUUGUUCCAGGGAGAUGGGUUUUUUUCCUGUUAAAAGCUCAAUAAGAACAACUCCAAAGCUAUAAACAUCACUCUUCUCUGUGAAUUGACUUGAUCGAAAAUAUUCUGGAUCCAUGUAUCCAAAAGUUCCUUGCACCCGAGUGGUUAGAUGUGUUUGUUCAAGUGCAACUGAUCUUGAAGUUCCAAAAUCUGACACUUUUGCCCUAUAUUUAUCAUCCAAAAGUAUGUUACUAGAUUUGAUGUCUCGAUGAUAAAUAGGAGCAGAAGCAGCUGAAUGCAAAUAGAACAAGGCAUUGGCAAUUUCAAUUGCAAUUCGUAAACGCAUUUUCCAUGUCAAUGGGAAUUCUUCAUUUUGGUUAUGAAUGAGAUCGUAUAAUGUACCAUUUGGGAUGAACUCAUACACCAAUAGAGGAGCUUCAGCCUCUAAACAACACCCUAAAAGCUUAACCACGUUCCUAUGAUUAAUUUGAGAUAAAAUUAUCACCUCGAUAAUGAACUGUUCAACCUUCUUUUCAUCAAAUUUCUUUCCUUCCACCAUUUUGGAUUUCUUAAUAGCCACAAUGCUUCCAUCUAUUAGCAUUCCUUUAUAAACAGUCCCUUGACCUCCUUGACCUAGGAUUCGGUUUUCAUUAUAAGAAUCAGUCGCCUUUUUCAUCUCUUUUGAAGUAAACAACUUAAUUUUUUCAACAUUACCUUCAUUGCUAGGCAAAUGUUGUUGCAGUAACAAACCUCCAUUCCUUUUGAAGUAUUUCUGCUUCAGCAAGAUUUUUUGUUUUCUUUUGAGGGCUUUGUACAGACUCCAUGUUGCGAGUAGUAAACGUAGUGUCCCAACACUAGUGCUGCAACCUAUAUAGAUAUAAGAAACAUAGUUAAAGGUGAAUUUGAAAAUUAAAAUACAGGCUAAAAACCAUGAAAAUGUUUCAAUAAAGUUUCAUUCAUAUUUGAUAGCCAUUCAUUUAAUGAACAAUGAGACAACCUUAUUACAUCAUUCAUUGUUUUCAUAUUGAAUUUUUACAAAUUUAAUGAUAAAUAACAGUUAUUGCAUCAUACAUUUAAAAGUAAAUAAAUUACUACUUAAAUUGACAUAAAUUAAAUAAUCAUAAUGAUUCCACUUUAAAAACAAGAAGUGUAAAUUCACCACGUACCUACAAUAAUGCUUUUCAAAUUACGAGUGUUUUUAUUUUGUACUUUGCACUCGCAAAGUAAUCCCGUACUAUUGUAUUCAUAACGAGGAGGGCAAGACUUUGACGAACAAUAGCUGUUAGGGGUAUUCAAGCAAAGUAUGUUGCAAUACUUGUAAUUAUCACAUUUCCCAUCUGUCAUUUAUGAAUUGAAAAAAAGAGAGGCUAUAAUCAGUUAAAGUAAUGAAUUAAAUUAUCCUUUUCUCCUUAUUCGUUAAAAUUAUCCGUAGAAGUAUUCUAGCAAUAUGUAUGCAUAACCAUUAUUUGAAAAAAAAAAUAUUUAAAACAUGAAAAACAAAGUUCAUUGAGUUGAGAUAUUAGCUAUCAUGAUGACUUUGUUCAAAUUUCAUUAUACGUACUCAUUUUUGUAGAUUUUACAAAAAUAUAAAAUGAAAAAAGAAACUUUUAUCAUAAUAUUAAAUUUUUUUAUAAAAGUAAUAGAUUUUCAUAAUUUCUCAAUCGAGUCGAGGCUCAAUUGAUGGGUGAUACCAAUUCAAUUAGCCCUUUAAAAAAUAAUACAAAUUUAAGGCACAUCCAUGAUGUGAGUGGAAAAAAUGAUGUAAUAAACAUAUUUAUUAAAAGCUUAUAUAAGAAUCAAAUGAAUUCUUGAUUGAAAUGAUAAAGUCAAAUUUUAAAAUUUAAUGUGUGAAAGGUUCAAAUCUCACCAUGUUAGGUUUAUUAUGGAUUUUAUAUAAAAAUGUAAAAAGAUGAGAAUACCCUUAAAAUAAUAUAACUUAAUUUGUAUAUAAAAAGAUAUUUUAAUAAAUUUUUGCCUGAGGUAUUAAGUAAAGAUAAUAUAGAUAUAAGAAAAAAGUUCCCUAAAAAUAGGUUAACUCAUACCUUUGCAUGACCUUGAAUAACUGAUAUCACUAGUAUCCCUGUAGCACGCACAUAGAUGAAUAGAGCUCAACCUCGACCAACAAUAUUCACCAUUGAAUGUACAAGAAGUGUCCGAACUAUCGUUCAAAUGGCACUCUCCAGAUAUUAGUGUGCUCCAUUGUAAUUGGAUUGGGACAUGCGUCCCAUUACUUAUAUCAAAAUCAUUGAGGAAAUUAUAGUCAUAAGAAAUCAAGGAAACAAAUUCGCAUGAUUUUUUCGUCCUAUAAUCACUAGAAUCAACCUUAGUGCUCAUGUGUUGCAAAGAAUGAACUAAGACCUUUAGGAAUAAUAAAAGGACAACCAAUAGAGGAAGUCUUGUUAUUAAUCCUACAACUUGGUUGCAAACAUCCGCUUAUAAAAUUAUCUGUUUCCGAAAAUAGUAAUCAAAUUACCACAACCUGAAGACCAGAAGUUGUUUCUAGAAUCUGAGUAGUAAAAACGGGUGCCUGUUAGGUUGAGACUCAUUCCAUUGUGAUGGUUUUUUCGACAGUUGGAGUAAGUUAUUGUUUGGUUGACAGUGAGGGUGCCAUCCAAAAAAUUAAAGUUCAAUAUUUGCAUAUUCGUGCCAUUUAUGUUUAAAAAAGGUAAUUUUUCCCCAUUGGCAGUUUUGGUGCAAAUUACAUUAAACCAGUCAUUGGAAUCAUCUUGGACCUCCAUGCUAAAAGGGUAGUGAAAAGGAACAUUCCCACAGUUCUCUACCUUGUAGGUUUUGAACUUGACAGGUCCUAGUCCUGGUCUUUUGCAUCCUGCAGGCUUAGCGAAAAGGACGUAAAUUACAAAAUCUACUAAAUGCAUGUACAUCCAAUGUUUGUAGGAAAUAAAAGCAAUGUGUCAUUCAGGAAAAUAUAUAAUUAUCUAAAAAUGAAGGUACAUAUACUAACAAAAUUAUUGUAUUAUAGAUAUAGGAGUUUAGGUUUCAUAUCAAGCAACCCUAUUCUUUACCUCUAAUUAUCAAAAUAAAUAAAUAUUUACUAAAAAAUCAUAUGAAAAGUGUUACUCUAAGUAAGUUUUCUAAUUAAAUUUAUGUGUUAUCUGUGGCAUUAAAUUCAAUAAAGGAUUUCUUAUUAAUAUAGUUACCAAUAUAAAUCUUAUGGUUGAAUUUGAUGUCAUUCACUAUUUUUAAUUAAAAAUACUUGCCCUUUAAAAACCUUUAAGGUACAAGCUUCUUACCUAAAACCUUUUAGGUAUUAAUUUAAGUUUUUGAAAUACAAAAGUUUUACCUAUAAGUUUUCUUUUCCUAAAAACUUUUAGGUAUAAAUAUUUGAAAAAGGACAAUAUUAAUAUACAAAAUGAAUUAUUCUAAAGACAACUUUUAGAUUAAUUUAUUAAUAAAUGUCGAAAAUUUUUAAAACAAUUAGGUGAAUAUAUAAGUUGAUUUUUGGAAAACGUUUCUAAUUGAAAGCAUUUUCAAGUGAUUUGUAGAAAAAUGUUUCCAACUAGAAGCAUUUUCAGCGUAUUGGUAGAAAAAUGCUUCCAACUGAAAACGCUUUUGUCACAUCAACAUUAAAAGUGGUAGCACCAAUAUUUUUUUAUUUCCUAAUGUCACCUAUUAAUAUGGAAAUAAAAAUUAAAAAAUAAGUUUUUAUUUAAACCCAAAGUCUCAUUUUCGUUAUUUUUUUUAGUGAGUAUAUAUAAGCUCAUAACUUAUUUUCAGCAUGUACCUAGACAAUAUAAGAUUGUUUACUUUUUUAACUAACAGCAUAAUAUUAUAGCCAUGUUUGUUUGGUUCCUUUUAUUAUUAUUAUUAUUAUUAUUAUUAUUAUUAUUAUUAUUAUUAUUAUUAUUAUUAUUAUUAUUAUUAUUAUUAUAAUACUUUUAUACCAUUGUUGUAUAAAAUCAAAGUUGGAAUAAGCAACCUUCAAAUUAUAUAUAUUUUUAGUUGGAUAUUUAAAUUUUUUUAAUCAAAAAAUGAUCUAAACUAUAAUUUCAUAACUAUUAUAUCAUAUACUAUUAUAUUUGUUAGAAAAAUUAUUUUAACAAAUUAAGAGUUUAUACAUGACAUUUUAAUAAUAUUAAAAUUUUAAUUUAAUUGAAGCAUUAUUAAUUUAAUUAUAAUAUUUUUAUCAUUCAAUUAUGAAAAGUUAUAAAAUGGUCAUUUAAUUAUUCUAUUUUAUUUUAUUUAUUUUCAAUUGACUAACGUAAAAAUAGAAACAUAUAAAAAUUUAAUAUAAUAAGACGACUAAACAAAAACAAAAUUGAAUUAUUAAGUAAAUAUUUUGUAACUUUUCACAUUGAGUAAAUAAAAAAGAAAAAAAUUUCCAUAAGUGGGCGACAACUAAUCUACUUUCCCCAUAUAUUAUAUUAUAUUUCACAUGUAAAAGAAUCUUAUUUACUAAUAGUUAAAUUUUUUAUCCUUCUCAAUCUCGUAAAUGAAAUAUUGAUGCUUAUAAAAUUAUUUAAUUUUGACUAAAAGAAUAGAUUUUAAUUCAAUAACUAUUGAAUUAAUCCCCGACCAUCAAUCCAUUCGAAUUACAAAUAUCCUAUACAUUUAUCUGUGUUUAAUAAAUAAAAGAAACUCCAAAGACAAGAAUAUUAAAUAUUUAAUAAUAUACUCCACAUCUUACAAUGCAUUUAAUUAAUAGUACAGACAAAGGUACUCCCACUUUAUGGUUCAUCAUUUUUAAUGUUUCAGACGUUUUCAUGGACCACUCGGCCAACCCGAUUUGAUCGGCAACAAGUGAAUAUAUUAUGGAUAAAGUAUCAUAUUUAUUUACUCUAUUAUGAAAAGUUAUAAAAUAGUUAUUCAAUUAUAAUUAAUUUUUGUUUAUCAUUUAAUUAUGAAAAAUUAUAAAACGAUCAUCCAACUAUUUGCUAAUAGUCCUUUCUUUUUGUUUUUCUCGGUCCCCUCUCUAUUAGGGGUGUAAAUGAGAUUCUGAUGCUUGCAAGAUUACUUAAGUUUGAUUCUGAAAAAAUUUAAAUUCGACUCGGUAAUUAUUGAACUGAGCUCAAACUAUCGAUCAAGUCAAAUUCGAGCUUAGUAAUACUUGACUUGAAUAGCUUGCGAGUCUUAACGAGCUUUUCAUAUUUUUUUAUAUUAUUAAGUUACAUAGUUUCCCUUAAUUAUCGAGCCGAGCUCAAGUACAAAAAUUAAUAAACGAAUUUAAUCGAGCUCGAAUUCAAGUAGCACGAUUAUAUCUCAAGUGAGCUCAUACUUAAAAACAAAUGUUCAAUUAAACUCAAACCAAGUAUCAAGUUUUAAAAUUUAAAUCGAGCUUAAUAAUAUUCUAAGCUCGGCUCAAUUAUGCGACUACCCUCUACAAACAUAUCAGUAUAGCAACUAUCUGGCCCCGUAAAAUGUGCACGCACCUCAUUUGGAUAAACUAACAUAUUAAUAAAUUUCAUAAUUUUAAAGAUAGGUAACUUUAAAUGAAUACUAUAUAAUGUGUUAGCAAACAACUAAUUAGGAUUUGCAUUCGAUGCACUUGUUAUUUUUUCUAAUGGGUAUUUAUAGACUUUAGAAUGUUCAGAAAACCUAAAAAUUAGGUUUUUCCACGUAUUUGUCCAACCCGUGUGGAAAUGUCCACCUGUGUGGAUCUUGAAAAUAGCUCUUUUGUCCGAUUUUGGCUCGUUUUUCGCUCCUUUCGCUCCCAAAUACUCUCCUAAGUAUAGAAACAUGAAUUUAAAGGAUUAGGAGCAUCAAAUUCACUAAUUUGUAUAAUUAAUCAUCCAAAAACGCAUUAAGAAUGAGAUUAAAAUAUGUUACUUUUAUAGAUUAUCAUCGACAAGCCAACUAGUUGCACAAAAUCUUGUUCACGUUGCUACACUGACAUUCACUUGCUUAAAUCUGCGACCGAAGUCUCGACCAACAAUGAAAGAAGUGUGUGAAUAGUUACUUUGUGGUAAAAAGUCCUUGGGAAUUCCCAUUCGGAUGAUCUCUUUGUUACAACUUGUGAACCAUGAAAUCCAUAUUAGAGGCAGAACAGAAAUUUGUGAUGUUCAAAGUCCAUGCGCUUUUUUGGUAUUGUUUAUCAUGCUUUCAUGAUUUGUUUCUAAACUAGCUCUUGUGUUAUAUAUGAUUUUGCAAAUAGUUUUCUAAACUUCUUAAAUAAAUUGGUUAUAAUUCAAUGAAUAAAUUUUUUUGAUAAAACCCUUGACUAGAAUGAAGAAUUCAACAAUCCAUAAAGAAAAAAAUAAUAGCAGAAGAAAAUGUGAAAGUCUUCUUCAUUGUUUUUCAUGCCCCAGAGUUUCUUUAAAUACCUUCCAAAAUCUCCUAGAAAAGAGUUUAAAAUAAAGUUUUAAUUUAAAAUAUCUCAUAAAAUCCUAAUCAAUCCCAUAAAAUAAGACUUUGAAAAUUUCUUUCAAAAAGAUAAUGGUUUUUGCUUUUCUUUUUAAAAUCAAUGGUAAAAAAAUUAAAAUGCAAUGUUAUUUAAAUCGAACUAAUUGGUUGAAUUAAAAAUCUGUUGAAAUUUUGAUUUAGAGGAAGGUAAAAAAUCAGUUCACCCAUGAAUUGAGUUAAAAAAAAUUUAAUUGAUUGAAUUAUAUUUUAUAAUUAUUAAUAUUUUUGUUUUUAUACUUUUUUUUUUAAUAAUUUAUUUGAUUUGCACUUAACAUGCUAAAAAUGGACGAUGUAAUUGAUUCGAUCACUUAUCCAUUCCAAAAAGGUUAUAUAAUAUUCAACUUGGUUCGGAAGCUUUUUGAAAUUAUGUAUUAAGAUAUUCAAGCUUAAUUUGCUCCAAUUUGAUUUGACUGGUUCGAGAGUUGUUGACAGAGAAGUAAUGGCGUCGGGAAAAAUGGCGAUAAAGGAUAAGUUGGAUUCUGUUAAUAUCUCUUGGUUUCUUUAGUUAUUCUCGCUCAAUUGACUCACCUCUUCUUAUUUAUAUCUGAAGAAGAAGAGCAAAAUGAGGUCUUUUCUUAUUAACAAUUGUAAGACCCAUUUUGACCCGGCCCAAUACCCAAGGCCCAAAAUCUAAAUUGGCCCAAUUGGGCCCAAAAAUUAAACAAGCAUCAGGGAACCCUAGGCCUCCUGCCUUGCUCAGCGCCGUACGCCUCCUGCAGCCUAGCCCUUUGCCAUCGCCGUUCACCUUGUCCCAUUGCCACUUGCUUCACCUGCAAAUAAUAAAGAGAACAACAACAACAAGCAAGAGAGGUUUUGUUUUUUUUUUUUCGGUAUAUAAACCGAUUACUAACAGAUUUUAGGGGGGAGAAUCGAUUUUUAAAAAAAAAAACCAAUCUUUAGAUCUGUUGGGGGGAACGAUUUUUUAACGGAUCUUGAGAUCUGUUGGGGGUUUCUUUUUGGCUUGCGAUUUUUGUAACCAAAUAUAGAUUCAACAGAAAGAAUAAAAACAAAAAAACUUUGAAGGUUGUUUCGCCUUUUAUUCUCUGUUUUCUUUUGCUUUGAAUAGAUUUUUUUAUUUUUAUUUCGUUUUUUUCUUCUUUAAAAUCUAAAAAAAAGAAUCAAAAGGGGUUACCUUCUCGCUUGCCGGUGAUGCCCUCCGAGUGCCGAAGCCGAGAAGCCCUUUGGGGUUUCGUUUAGGUCGCGCCAAAGGAAAAACGGGCUGGGGGAGACUUGUUUUAUUCUUUCUAUUUUCCGGCACGACGAAGCCGCUGCGAGGCUACGACGAAGCCUUCGCGCGAGUUCACCGGCGACGUCGCCGGACUCUAAAGGGGGAGAAGGGGAAUCGUUUUUUGAGAAACAGAGAGAAAAGCAAAAUUUUUUUUUAUUUUUUCUGCUGCUAAAUGAAGUUUUGUUAAAAAAAAUUAGUUUAAAUAAACUUUUCAAAACGGCGCCGUUUGGGCUUAGGGCUUACAGACCAGAAACGGCAUCGUUUUGGUCUCUAACCCGCGCGGUGACCCGACCCAGGGGAAGGAUCCGCGUGUUUUCUUUAAAUAGGUUAUUUAUGCGCGCAGUCCCUCCAACUUUGAAGCGCGUUGCAAUUUGGCCCCUUUUCAUUAUUUUCUUCUAUUUUAAUUUAGCCCCAAGGUUUUAUUUUGGUUUCAUUUUGGUCCGUUGCAGUGUUGCGUUUUGGGGCUUUGGUUUAGUUGCAGUUUUAGUCCCCUUUCUGUUGCGCGCAUCGCGAUUUAAUCUUUUUUUUAAUUUUUGAUUUCCGCCUUAAGAUUUUGUUUAUUUUCAAUUUAAUCCUUUUUUGUUUUAGUUAUUUUACUGUUAAACUAACUAUUUUAAUCUUGUUAUUACUAUUAUAUUAUAUCAUUAUCCUUAUAAUAUUAUUGUCAUAUAUAUAUAUAUAUUUUUACUUAUUUAAAUUUAAAUAUACUUGUCCUAUUAUUAUUACUAUUAUAACUAUUUAUAUAUACAUACCUUAUUAUAAAUAUCUUUAUAUCUUAUUAUGUAUAUAUAUCUAUAUCUCUUUUUAAAUAUUUUCUAGCUUAUAUAUACAUACGUUUUGCUAUAUAUAUAUAUAUAUGUCUAGCUCCCUUAUACAUUUAUAUAUAUACACCUAUAAACUUUUAUUUUAUUUUAUUUAUUUUAUAUAUAUACAUAUGUUGUUCUUAUUUUUAUUUUUACGUAUAUUCACAUAUAUAUCUUUUAUAUUUUAUAGCCUUAUUCAUUUCUUUAUUUAUUUCUUUAUUUAUAUUUUCAUUAUUAUUUUGAAUGAAUGUUUUAAUUUUAUUUCCUUAUAUGCAUUGUUAUUUUGUAUGUUAUUGGUUCAUCCUUUUACCUAAUUUAUUCUCAUUGCUAUUACUCAUAUUAUUUAUGCUACAUUAUCGUAUUCAUAUUUAUUUAGUUACGUAUACUAACAUCGUAUCUUAUUUCUACUAUUUCGUGUUAAAUUAUUUCAUUCAAUAAAUGAAUUAUGACUUUUGAAUAAACAAAAUUUCGUGUUCAGAUUUGAGAAAAUCGUGCCCUAACUUACUGGGUUUCGAUUUUCACAAUAAAUCUAAACACGUGAAUAUUUUCAAACUCAAGUUUUAAACGAUAUCGGGAAUUAAAAAAGGAUUGUGUCCUAACUUACUGGUCGUGAUAUCCUUUUUUAAAUCUGAGAUAGCUAAAAUAUCUUUUAAAUAUGUAAAUUUUGGCAUUCGUUCACGUAUCGGGAAUUCGAGACAUUGUAUCUUAACUUACUGGAUAUGAUUCUCUUUCUCACAUGAAAUAUGCCCCUUUUUCCAAAAUUCUCAACAUUUUAAUACAAGGAUCGUAUUUUUAAAAUUCUUCAAAGUUUUCAAUUUUCGACAUUAAGACAUUAACUAAUCAACUAGGUACCAAUUUUGAGCGUUACGAGGGUGCUAAUCCUUCCUCGUACGUAACUGGUUCCCGAACCCGUUUUCUAAAUUUUGUAGACCAAACUCGUUGUUUUAAUAAAAUUAAAUUAUUUAUUAAAAACAACCGCUUUUAAAGGUGACCCGAUCACACCUCAUCAAAAAAGAUUGGUGGCGACUCCCACUUUCGUUUUCAUUUUUCAAAACCCAAGUCGACCCCGUUUUUCAUCCAGAAAAUGGUGUCAACAACAAUUUCAUCGACUUAGCGAAAGGAAAAGAAAAAAUUAUCCAUAACUUGUAUGAUAAAUACCUUCAAGAGAUAAAAUAACACUGAGUGAAACAAGUAUGAAUUCUUGGGCAACCACAAGACUCUACCAGUGUGACAAACAGAGAAGCUAAAGGCUAUCAAUCUAAGAGAAAUUGUUUCAGGAGUGUUGGAAACUAGAAAGAUGAAUUUAAUGGAAAAGUUACACUGUUGGUUGUAAUUGUCCUAGACGUUGAACAACUUGGAUUGGUCUCCCAUGAAUGGAUCAUGUCAUCUAUUUCAGAUUCUUCAUCACCAUGGUCUUCAAGAACAUUUCCACCUGAAGCGUUAAUCAACAGAGAAGCAGAAAGAUGCUUGAAUCUUAAUGGAAAGAAAAGACCCACCAUGAAAGGAGUUCCGCCAGGAGUUUAAAUUGAAGGUUCGUGUUGGUGUUGGAGGCAGUAGCAAGCUGCUUUGGUCUUGCUUGGAUAGCAAGGCUCGAGACUUGCAGAAGAAACAAUUGAUGAAGAACAGAAUUUUGCAAGUGGAAAUUAACAGAAAACAAAAGCAAAGAAGAGAGAAUUUUAAAUGAAAAGAAGCUGAUUUUUCAUUAACAACAGAAAUAAGGCAUUAAGCCAUUACAUAUACAAAUUUCAAAAUUUAAAUCGAGCUUAGUAAUAUUUAAACUCGGUUCGCUUAUACCACUACCCUCUACAAACUAAUCAGUAUAGCAACCAUCUCGCCCCGUAAAAUGUGCACGCAUCUCAUUUGGAUAAACUAACAUAUUAAUAAAUUUCAUAAUUUUAAAGAUAGGUAACUUUAAAUGAAUAGUAUAUAAUAUGUGUUAGUAAACAACUAAUUUGGAUUUGAAUUUGAUGCACUAGUUAUUUUUGUGUAUUAAUAUUGUCAUGUUUUUAUAAUAUGUUGUAAGUUUCAAAUAUUGUCAACAUUAAAAGUUAAUUUUUAAAAAUAUAUUUUAAGUUUAAAGAAUUAUUAAAUAUAUAUACUAGUGUCAAUUUUCCUUAUAAUUUGUAUUUUUAAUAGUUUAUUUAACUUAAUUAUAGGUCGAAUUAUACUUAAUCUUAAUUUUGUAUUUUUAUUGUAUAUUUAUAUUUGCAUGCAUAUUUCAAUAUAUGCACAUUUAGAGCUACAUAUCAAGCGAAAAAUUAAUGUAAAAAUAAAGUACAUUUAUACAUAUAUAAUCUUAUAUUCAUAUAUAUCGUAUAAUAAUAUGCUGAAAAUAAAAUAAGUCCAAAUGCAUGGAUAUUGUGAACAAUAAAUAUAAAUGUUUUUAAAAUUAAUGAAUGAAUUAAAUAUAGCAACAAUGUAUUUUUUAAAGUAACAUGCAUUGUUAAUAUUGUGUUAUCUCGUAUUUAAUAAUUACGUGGUGUCCAUUUUAGGUUUUAUAUUAAAUAAAAUAAAAAAAUUAUAACGAGGAGGAUGCUGGGUAUAUUAACAAAAUAUAUAAAAAUAUUUAUUCCAAUUCUGUUGCUACACUUUUAUAAGAAAAUUGCCUUGAAUUAAUCUUUUAAUAUAGUUGACAGUUAUACGUGGUAGAUUUUUAUUAUGACAAAUGACAGUUUAUAAGUUAUAUCACAUAAAAUUUAUUUCCGUUUUUUGUAAUAUCAUAUUGCUAUAGUGUAUAAUAAUAAUAAUAAUAAUAAUAAUAAUAAUAAUAAUAAUAAGAUAAAAAAUAUAACAGCCCGUUUUCAGUGAAGUUAGAAUAGUAGUUUUGGGACCACAAAUUUGAGUCCGGAAGAAAAAUUAUUUUAAUAUUAUUUCAUGGUCUGCAGUGUGAUUGAAAUAUCGCAUGAAAAUUUCGUAAAGAAAUUUUAUCGGUUGCAUGUCUAAUUAGAUGAAAAGGACCAAAUUGCAUAAAAUGAAAAAGUUGAGUUCUAGUAGCUAUAUGUAUCAAAUAACUAUGGAAUUCAAAGUUUGAGGUCCUUAUAUGGAAAAUAGACUAUUAAGAGGAGUUAGUAGAUAAGUAUGGUUAGUCAUCAUUAGAAAAUUUAAUAAAGAAAAGGACUAAAUUGGAAAGUAAAAGAUAAAAAGAUGAUAAAUAAUAAAAUAAAAGAAAAUAUCAUCAUAUUAUCAUCUUUCCUAAAUUAAAAAGAUGGAAACCUUAGCCAUGGAAAUCUAAGCUCAAGCCAACUUAUUUUGCUUAAUUAGGUAAGUAUUCUUAACUCAUUUUUAAUGAUUGUUAUAUUUUCGAGAUCGUAAUAGCUUAAUCUAGCUAUCUCGGGAAUUAAUUUGUAAAGUUAUCAAAGUAUUAGGGUUUUUCCAUGGAUGAGUAUGUAUGAAUUAUGAAGUUUUAUGGUAGAAAAUGAAAGUUUGUUGAUAGAUAAACAACUUUUGUAAAGAGAAAUUUGAUGAAAUUAUGAUUUAGGGACUAAAUUGAAAAGAUGUAAAAGUUAUGGAAAAAUUCUAAAUUUUGUAAAAUACAUGGGUUGAUAAUGUUACAUGUAAAAAUCGAUUAGGCUUGGAAUAAGGAUUAAAUUGCAUGAAUUUCAUUUUCCGAGCCUAGGGACGAAAUUAAAUUAAUUAAAAGUAAAUUUUAUUAAAUGUAAAUUUUAUUAAAUUGAUGUUAAAUUCAUUCGUUUAGAUCCGGAUAGAUCAAAUACGAAGUUAGAUCGUGAAAAAGAAAAAGUAUCGGAUUAGUAGACAACAAAUAAACGUGCAAUUGUCAAGGUAAGUUCGUGUAACUAAAUUGUAUAUCUAUAUGUUUGAAUUAAAUGUUGUGUAUGUGGAUGGUGUAAUUUCCAAGUAUGAAAUUUGUAUAAAUUGCUAUGUGUAUUUAUUAAUCACAUAAUCAACAAUGACCGACAAGUAUUAAGUCUCAUUUGAAUAAAUGAAAUUCGAUGGAUACGGGGUUCCCGAUUGGCUGUGAUCCUGCAUGUGUUACAGACACACCAUAGCUCUUACGAGCGUCCCAAUAUUUGGCUCUCACGAGCUUCCCGUUAAUAGCUCUUCGAAGCAUCUCGAUUGGUUGUGAUCCUGCAUGUGUUUUAGAUACACCGUAGCUCUUAUGAGCUUCCCGAUAUAUGGCACUCCAGAGCUUUCUGUUAUAUAGUUCUUGCGAGCUUCCCAUUAUGGCUCUUAUGAGCUUCUCGAUAAUUAGCUCUUCAGAGCUUCCUAAUAACUAGCUCUUUUGAGCUUCCCAUUAUAUUGCUCGACAGAGCUUCCCAUUUAUGUGCUCGUAUGAGCAUUCCUGAAUAUGAAUUGACGAAUUACAGUUUUGUACACUUUGUCCAUGUACUACCUGUGUAUCCAACGACAUUUUAAAUGAUUCAACGGGUAAAAUCCUGACAUGAGAAAAUAUGAGUUCAAAAUGAAUCAUUACUUGUAUAUACAUGAAACACAUGGAAAUUUGAUAUUUGAUGAGCUCAUACAUGUUUCUUGGUAUUCAUGUGAAAUACAUGACUAGCAUGUUUGAUGAGGUUAUGUGUUUAGGCUAUUAGCCAAAUUUCUUUCGAUGUAUUUUGUAUUCUUACCUUAAAUCUAAAUAAAUGGUAAGUUAAUUUCCGUUAUACAAACUUACUAAGUAUUAAGUUCUUACUCUGUUUCAUUUCCUUUGUUUUAUAGUAAUUUGGAAGCUCAAUUUGGUUGGAAGCUGGUUGGAGCAACAUCUCACCAUCCUUCGGCUCAUUUUGGUAUAAAUAGCAGAUUACUUUUGGUUAUAAUGACAUGUAUAGGGUAAUUUGGCCAAUGUUGGCUUAAAAGUAUUUUGUUGUAAAUAGCCAUUGGAAUGGCUUGAGUUAGAUAAAUUUGAUAUGUAUAUAUGUGUGAAUUAUCAUGUUUGUUGUGUUGAUAUGGUUAUGAAUGGAUAAUUUAUGAGUAUGUUGAUGAAUGGUUUAAAAUAACAUGAUUGGAGAAAUAUGCAUAUAUGUUUCUAUGGUCAUUUAGGUAAGAUUGAAUACUUAGGCAUAUGAGGUGUUAUGAUAUGUAUUAAACUUGGUUUUGGCUUGAGUUAGAUUUAUUGUAUCAGCUGGUGAAAGUGUUAAUGGAGGUGGAAGACAAAUUGGCUGAGAAAAGUGGCCUUAGAAAUUACCUAUUUUAGUCCACACGGGCAUGUGUCUCAGCCGUGUGUGAUACACGGCCUAGCACAUAGGUGUGUAGUUUGGCCGUGUGUCCCCUGCAUCUUAAAAUUUGAGAAACAAAUUGCUCAAAAUAUUCACACGGCCUAGCACACGAGCGUGUGGCUUGGUCAUGUAACCCAAAUCAAAGAGCACCCUAAAUUGGUCACGGGAUGGGACACGACCGUGUGCCCUACUUUGAAUGCCCACACGGCUUGGCCACAGGGGCGUGAGUCCUCUGUACCUAGGCAAAAUGUUUAAAGUUUAGCAAAAAAUUCUCUAAGCUCUCGGUUUAGUUCUGAUUUAUUUCUAAUGUGUAGUUUGGACUUCGAGGGCUCAAGUGAGGGUAUGAUUGGUUUUGAUUUGAUUUCUGACAUGGAUGCUAAAUGAAAUGAAAUGUCUGUAUUUGAUCUGUAAGUUUCGGUAAUGCUCCGUAACCCUGUUUUAACGACGGAUAUGGGUUAGGGAUGUUACAAAAGAUGAGUACUUCGUAGUAAUAAACAAUUUAAAUACAAGAGUAAAAAAUAUUGUAAUUGACAUGUAACAUACAAAAAUUUUUAUAAUGAAAGAUAUAAAUAAAUUUUAUAAUUAUAAUUGUAAAAAUUUAUAUAACUUAUUAAUCAAAUAAAAAAAUGUAUAUAACAUACAAGAACGGGCUUAACCUCUUCCAACAGUAUCAUCUCCAAGAUUCGAGCAUGUGCUCUCUCUUUCAAAUUGCAAAAGACUUUACCACUACUCUCAACACUUAUUGGUAGCAUAUAAAAAAAUUAUAUAUUUGUAUGAUGAAAAGUAAUUUGAAAAUACAUGAAAUUAAUUAAUUUUCAUCAUAAAAUAUUAUAAUUGUAAUGCCCAAAUUUAGUGGUCAUAGUUGUUAGAUUCUAUCAUUAGCAAGUAUUUAUUUCAAUGGUUAGAGGCUCUAGUUAUGUGUUAGGGUCUUGAGUUUAAAUCUCAAUUCAAUCAUUUUUGUUCAUAGGCCUAUAUGAUUUAAAAUAAAAUAUAUUUUGUUGUCAAAAUAAUUUUGAAAUUAAUUUUAAAUGAGUUUCUUUUAAAAAAUAUAUAAUAAUAAAAUCAAGUAGUUAAUUUAAAAUGUAUUAUCUUUUGGGUUUGUUUUGAAGUAAACAAAACAAGGUAUUUAGUUUACGUUGUGCUUAUCCAUUCCAUUUUUUUAAAAAUUAAAUCCAUUUUGUUUUGUUUUAUUUAUUUUGUAAAAAAACCCAAACCUACGUUCCCAAUUCUGUUAUCUCCCUAACCCACGCCGCAAUUUCAAAUCCAAAAUAUUGUUUUUCUUUAUGCUUUCAUCUUUUCUUUUGUUCCUUCAUUUUUGUUUUGGGAAUAUUCUUUAAACGCUGGGCUGCUGUUAAUUUUUGAAGCAAUAGUUGUGAUCCUUUGACUGCAAAUCCAAUGGUAAGGGUUUAAGUUUAGUAUGUUAUGUGUUUUUGUAGAUGUGUUGGACGUUGGGUUGUGUUAGAUCAGACUAGUGAUAUUGUAUUAAUUCUAAUGCGUUUUUAGGAGUAGUACAAGAGGCAGUGGGUGACCUUCCAACAAUUUAGAAUUCUCGUAGUAGUUGUUUGUUUCUCGGUAAGUGUGUGGUUGUGUUAUGAAGUGUUGUUUAGUUUGAUUAGUGGUAGUGAUAUUGUAUUAAUCUUUAUUGAAAUUGGUUGUGUUAAUUAUCAAUGUAGGUUCUAGGAUUACUUGUGUUGAAUCAGCAUCAGAAAAUAACUAGGUGUGUAAUGAGAAACCCAAAAAACAGCGAACGACGAACGCCAAAAUUGGGCACUAUUGACGCCACAUGGCUGUGUGACAAACCAUGUGUCGGACUGUGUGUGACAUACGGCCUAAGCUAUUUUAGACUGUAUGGACCACAUGGGCAUGUGUGGGCCGUGUGCCAGGCCGUAUGGGCCAAAAAUUUAGAAUUUCUUCCUAGGGCCGGGCACGUCGUCCCGAUCGACUGUGGGUCUUCCGUGGGGUUGGUAUGUGAUUAAAUAUAAUAGAAAACACGAAAUUUGGUCAUCUGUUAACAUAAAUUCCGACAUCUACAAGUGUAUCUGAGCUGUCAUAUGAUAGUUUAAACUAAGAGUAAUGUUAUAUAUGUAUAUGAUUUGUAUUUGAAAUGUUUUGCAUGAUUUCUGCUUUGAUUAUAUCUGAUUAUGGGGGGAGGGAUAUAUUAUGUGGAGGAAAUGUUUCUGUGAGAGGCGAUAUUUCGCCCAUUAUACUAGCAGCACAACUGCAAAUAAUCUGAACAAUGUCAUACCGAUACUAUGUAACACCUCCUAACCCCAAACCGUUACCGGAACAGGGUUACGAGGCAUUACCGGACAUAUCAAACAAUUUACAAAUAAUUCUUAAAUAAAUAACCAACAUAUUAAAAUAAUUCAUAAAUUGUUAUAAAUUUUAAUAAUUGAUUUCAUUCAUUUUUAUAAAAAUUUUAGCAACAUUUCUGCUUAUUUUUACAUAAAACCCCCUAUAAAAUUUCAAAACAUAACUAACCCAAUUCCAGUAUUUCAAUCAAGGCAUUUAUAUACUUAAAUCUUACUUGACAUAUUGACAUAACAACUUAAUUAAUAAAAAUCCUAUUAUCAUUUCUAAUUAACUCAUAAAACUAAUCAAGUCAUUUCAAUUCGAUACCAAAGCCAUAAAGAACUUUUACCAUUUUACUAAUAUAAUCAUCAAAACACAUAAUAUCUUAGUUUACAACAAAACUAUAUAGCAUACCAAAAUAACUAUUAUAAUUCUUAUGUACAUGCCACUUUCAUUUAAGGAAGAAAACAUCACCAAAAUCUCAAUGCAAGAGUCGGGAUUGACCUGGAUGCUGAACCAAGACUCAGACCCCUAUUUCAACCUAUGUACAGAAACAACCGUAUGCUGAGUAUUUUAUACUCAGUGGUAUUACCAUAAUUCAAAUUAUAAUAGCAAUAAAGAAUUAUAAUUACGAAGCAUGUAACUAUCCGAUUUCUUGAAUAUCAAUUAAUUCAUAAACUUUCAUUAUUUAACAAUAACAAUAAAAUUUUUAACUAUUCUUCAAUCUCAAUCACAUAUCACAUGUAACAAUUUUAAUCACUACAUAAACAUUAAAUUCAUGCCUUUUAUUUUCAAUAUCAAUUUUCAAUCUGCAAAUUUUAAAUUUUCUCAUAUUUAAUACCACAAUCGAUCAAAUUCAUUUGAUUUUCUCAUUUCAAUUAUUCACCCUAUUAACAAUCUGGACUUUGACGAAUACACGGAUUCCAACCCAAACACACUAGUACGGCACAUUGUGCCUAAAACGGUACAUAGUACCUGAUCAGUAUACGACACAUAAGUGCCUGAAAUGACACACAAGGUGCCUAAUACGACACAUAAAGUGUCUGAUCGGCAAAGCCAAUAAAUCCCGUACUCUUCCAAAUCCUAUGGCAUGCCAACUAUAUCCGACUUAGCCUGACUAGUUAAUAGGGUAUUCAAAUUCUCAAUUCUCUUUCAUUUCCAAUUCAAGAUCACUUUUCCACUUUCUAAUCAAUUAACAAUUUAAUACCAAUACAUAUUUCAAAUAAUCACAUAUAAUCAUAUCUCAAUUCAAUUCAAACCACUUUUCAAUCAAUACACAAUUCACAUUUUCACACAUAUUUAUAAAUUAAUUCACUUUAUUUAAUUCAUAUUUUAAAUUCAUUUUUCAAUCAAAUUCAAAUCACUAAUACUUUUUAAUCAAUAUACAUUUCAAAUACUCACAUAUUUCCAUCAUUCAAUUCAAUUUGAUUCAAUUCAAGUCACUAUUAUCAUUCCAAUUGCUUACCUAAUUUUACUUACCAUGCAUUUUAAUUAAAAUAUAACAAUUAAUAAUAAAUAAAUUUGAAUUAUAGUAAUACAAACCCGAAUUUGCUUGAUUAUUCCUUAAUGACCUUCUCCUUCCCUUUUUGUGCCGAUACCUCGAAUUCUUUAUUAGCUACGAAAAUUAAAUAAUCAAAUAAUUAAUUACAGCACAAAUUUUACAAUAAAAAUAAAAUUUCUAUCAAAUUUUAUACUUUAAUUCCAAUUUAAUCCUAACUAGAUUUAUCUACUUUUCUAAUUUAAUUCACACUCUAUUUCUAUUCAAAACUUCUUCUAAACUCAAAUUUAUCUACUAAAUUUUCAUCAUUUUUCACUAAUUUCGAAUUUUCCACAAUUUAAUCCCUAAAAUUCAAAACUUGUAGUUUAGUUUACAAUUCAAUCCUUUAUUCAAUUCCAAAUAAAAUUUCUAUCAAAUAAAUCCUCAAUUCCAUCAUUUAUUCAACAUAAACCCUACUCAAAAAUCUAUUAACUUUCAAAUUUUUAACUUAAAUCCAAGAGUAAUUCACUCUAGGAUUCCAAAAACAUCAAAUUUAUGAGAAAAGCACUUGAUUUAGCUUACCUAUUAAACUUCAAGCUUCAAAAUCUCAAUUUUCCCCCUUUCUUUUCUUUCCCUUUUUCUUCCCCUGUUUUCGUCUCUUUCUCUGUUUCUUUUCUGUUCUUCUUCUCUUUUUCUAUUCUUUUAUUUCUUUUGUUUUCUUUUACUUUUUGUUAUAAUAAUAUAAUAUAUAAUAAUUAAUAUAAAUAUCUUUUACCACAUGUCAUAUUCAUAACCAUACAUUUGUCUUAAUUUUAUUUAUUUCACAAUAUAAUAAUAAUAAUAAUUUAAUAAUAUAUUUUAACAAAUAAAAAUCUUAGAUUUUUAUGCUCCUCAAAUUUGACAAUUGGCAUAAUUGGCCAUUUGGCCCUUAUUAUUUUCCUUUAAUCUAUAAUUAAACUUUCACUUCUAUUGUAAUUUAAUCCUUUUUACUAAUUACUCUUAAUUAGACUAAAUUCACCUAAUUAAUACCUAAUUAAGCACUAAACUAAACUCUUAAUUAUUUCUAAUAAUUAUUUUCGAACUCAAUUUACUAAGACGGAGGCCCGAUAUAAUACUUUUUCGAUGCCCGUGAAUUUUUGGGUCAUUACACACUAAGUGGUGUGUAGGGUUGGAUGGAUAUUUAAUACUCUAUAUGGUGUGUAGGGAUGGUUGGAAAUGGUGUGUAGCAGAUGAGGGUAGGAUUGUAAAUUUGCUUAUGGUUCUGAUUCUGUAUAAGAUAUACAUUUGUAUCUACUCUACUUUGUAAUGAAUCUGAAAAUUAAAACCGUAAUUUUGUUUUCUUUAAAGUUACACACUGAGUUAUGAAAACUCACUUUUUGUUUGUCUAUCACUUUCAGGUAACCCUCAGACUUAGGCAGGUCAGUGCGACGGGAGCUCGGUUAUAACCAUAUUUUUGUAAAUUUAGUUUAUUUAAAUUUGGGUUUGAGAGUUUUGUAAAUUUUGGAGUAUUUAGACAAUUUUUUUUGGUUUUGGGUUUUGGACUUUAAUUUCGUUUUUCGUAGUUACCGCUUAAAUGUUUUGUCGACAAGGUUCGUUUUUCUGCAAAUAAUGGGUUUCAGAUUAACAACUGAGUUUUUCAAAAAUUUAAUGUUUUAAGAAUUUCCGUUGCAAAGUAUUCGUUUUAUUUAGCAAAUAUAAAAAACCAACAUUCCCAAUUAAAUUGUUAUAUUGAAUAUGUUUUCCUAUAAAACUGGUUCUUAGAUAACAAAAUUUUAUGAUGAUUUCCAAAAUAAUCAAGAACUGGAUUUACAGCUAUUUUCUUUUAAGUAGCAUCCUCAGAUUUAGUCAUAGCGUCUAGGACGGGUUUGAAAUGUUACAUUUAGUGGUAUUAGAGUCAGGUUGCAAAACUCUGACUAUGAAAUUUUGGGUUUAAAAUUAUUUUUGAGAAAAUCAUUUGUUUAAAUAUAGUUUAUUUCUAUAUGAAUCUGAAAAGGAAUUUUGUGAAAUACCGAGUCUUUGGAACCGAUUCUGUAAGUACUCCUCACUCAGAAAUACUUUAGUUUAGGAAACUCUGAAACGAUUAAAACCAUAUUAAGAUAGUUAGAGACUGAAACAUUUUUGGGAUUUUUGAAAUUUCUUCUAACAAUUUUUUGAGGCAUAAAAUGUCUGUUAAUAAAUACUUGAACUGUAACACCCAAAAACCUGACCUAGAAUUCUAGAUCGAAUCCCGGAGGUUACAUUGACCACCGAAAGUGGCGAAAAGAAAAACUCUAUUAUAAACAUAGAAAAUCCUUUGGUAAACCAUCUUGCCAUAACUUUUAGAAAGUUAGAUAACACUUAGUUAAAUUUUGAAACAAAGUUUAAUUGGCAUUAAACGCAAGUCAGAAAUAAACCAAAUGGAAUUCCUUGAUAGUUUCGAAAGCAUCAAAUUUUGUCAAUCACAAACCAUAAUUUGAAAAUCGUGAUAUAACAAAACUUAUAAAUUGUUUAAAACUGUAACACCUAGUUGAUCGAAAAUCCAAACUCAACCCAUACCACAAUUUUUAUAAUCUUUCCUACAAACCAUUUGAAAAUAACAAUUGAAAUUUAAGUAGCAUCAUUUAAACCAAACCAAACACUUAUCAUCCCGAGACCUCCAGCAUGUUGAGUCCAACUUUCGAACAUAAAAAGUACCUAAAAGAAAGAAUGUUACAAUGAGGUAAGCUGCGUGAGCUCAGUGUGAGCCCGGAAAAUAAAACAGAUGGCAAAAGAUGGAGUGACACAAUAAAUAUUCCAAACAAGUAUAUGUAUAAAAAUGACUUACAAAAAUCUCAAAGCGGUAAUCCAGUAUACAAAAAUGUAUUCAAAGAAUAUCAAAGCACAUAUUAAUUAACACACUUAUUAUAUUAUAUUAACCAUAUCACCAAUAUCCCAAUGCUUACAUAAUCAGAUAUAUAUUCAGAUGCGUAACGAAUGUAACGAGUCAAAAACCUACCCCAACCAUUCGAACACCAUUCCGUCCCUCCUGCAUACCACAAUAGGGAUAUGUUGGACCCAACCACCCUGCACACCACAUAAGACCGUAAUAGGCCUAUCCACAUUGCACACCCUAUAUGUGGAAUUGAGCCACUCAAAUAAUAAUAUGCAACUGAGCUGACAUAUGUAAAGUUGUGCACUAAACUGUAUUGCAGUUAAAUUGCCAAAUCAGUCUUCUUUCUUUCCAUAAGCAAAUCCCAAAAUUUUCAUGCUAAUGCAGUAUUGCACACAUACGCAAACAAACAUACAUAAACAGACAUUCACAUUUCCAGUUGAACAAAUUCAGAGUUGGUUAUACUUGCAUUCCAAUAAAUACACGAACCCAAACUUGACCGAGUCCUAAACACACUUAUCAAGGCUUAAUCGAGGGUCGAAUUACACAGAAACAUAAAACGAGACUGUUUAUGACUCAGAACAAAAAUCAGUGAAACAGUGCCACACGGCCGUAUACCCUGACCAUGUAGAAGAGUCAAGGUCAUGUGAAGAACAACAUGGCUGUGCAAAAAAGACACACACCCAUUGGAAGAAGCACACGUCCAUGUGGAGGAGACAUACACCCAUAUGUUUGAGUUGUAUGGCCGUAUGAGUAGCUCGUAUAACUCACUGUUCAAGAGUGCCUAUUUAAGGAACAGAGUAGAAAUGAUCGUGUAGAAACUCACACGCCUGCGUGGCUAAGGGACACGGCUGUGUGUCCAAGGCAUAUGCCCGUGUAAAAAUUAACAAAAAUCCCUAAAUAAUAGCCACAUGACCGUGUGGCACUAAAAAAGGUCCAAAAUCUCUAAUUUGCAAAGUCACACAACCGUGUGGACCGUCCGUGUGCGGCAUACGCUCGUGUGGCCACCCGUACGGUCACAAAACCACUCCGAGUUUCACGAUAGCAACGCAAUCCCUAAUCGCUAAUGGUUCAAAAACACACCUUAAAGCGAAACCCUGGGCAUUAUGAACUGAUCGAUUCUCCCUUAGUGUACCAAUUUUAAAAUUGCAUAAACCGAUAUGCUAAUUUAUAAGCAACAACCAAAACAGUACAAACAAAUUGACUAAGAAUAACCUAAAACUCAGAACGAAACAAUUAAACAACACAAUACUUACAUAAUUCACAUCCAAUUAAAUGAAACACACGAGGAAAAUCAAUCAACAAUGACGAUGAUAAACCCAGAAUUAAUUUGAAGAACAGAAGUACAAUGGUUCAAAAAUCACAAAAAAAUGAAAGUGAGAAAGGAGAAGGAACGAAAAGAAAAUUUACGUGCAAGAGAGGGAGAAGAGAGAAGAGUAACGUGGGAAAAAUAGUUUGGGAGAUAACUUCCUAUUUUAGAUUAAAAGUUAAAUAAAAAAUAGAAAUAACUAAAUUAGUAUUUAAAACAAAUAAGAAAAACUAGAAUAAAAUUAAUUCUUCAAAACACACAUGAGGACUCGAACACGAGACCCAAAGGUAAACUAACACACACUCAACCUCCGAACCAGUAGGCUCAUUUUGAUAUUGAAACGUGAUAAUAAACCCAAUUGCUCAACCUACUUAUUGAUCCUAACAACAAACCUCAAAACUUCUAACCCUAAAUUUUAGGAUGUUAUAGGAACUGAUAUAUAAAACUUUUUAAUAUAAAUAAUCUAUAAAAUGAUGAGCACUUAUGGAUCACAUGGAUGCAGCAUUCAUGGGUGUGGUAGACACCGUAGAGGGCUCGAGCUGAGUCAUCAUCGAUGGGUAAUAUGCCCAAUUUGAAUACGAGUGAGAUGCCGACUAUACCUACUGUUCAGAACGGGUUUCAAAGUCGCUCGAUUGGUGAUGAUGCAUUGUCUCAGGCCAUGCUGAGGGUUUUGGAGAGGGACACUGAGCCCUAUUCAGGAUCUGGGAGCUGUUGGUUGGUUACUAAACAACUUCAGUCCAAUAGUACUAAGUUGUUUAGAGGUGUCACUAGAGUCGUCCCUACGAUGGUUGAUUAUUGAUUAGAGGCCAUAGAGAUGAUUAUAAAUGACAUUGACUGCUCCUUCGAGCAGAAGUUCAAGGGUGCAGUAUCUCUGCUUCAUAAUGAGGCAUAUCAGUAGUGGUUAACGGUUGAGGAGGGUCCCAGAUUGGAUUACUUGGGAUCAGUUUAAGAGCGCAUUCCAGAGUAAAUAUGUGGGGGCGAGAUAUGUGGAUACUCGUGGAUGCGAGUUUAUGAUCCUUACCUAGGGGGAUAAGACUGUGGUCGAAUAUUAGGUUAAAAUUUUUUCGACUGAGUCGUUAUGCUCGUUGGAUAGUAUCAACUGAGUAUGAGAAAUGUAUUCGUUUCGAAGAAGGAUUAAGGGGUAAUCUGAAGGUUUUGAUAGCUCUACAGAGGGAGCAAAAAUUUACUGUCUUGAUGGACAAGACGAAGAUCACUGAAGAGGUUAAGCGCGUUGAGCGCGAAAAUAGGGAGUGUGAAAGGGGUAAGAAUAAGAGGGAUUCAGAGCCCUCUAGUUCUACUCAGAUGCCUAAGAAAUGGGCUAGAUCUGACGGGCCUUCAAGGAUUGGGGUUCCAAUUACUCCUACUGUGGCUCAACCGUGUGGGAACUGUGGUAGACGCCAUCUGGAUGAAUUUUGGAGGAGGUUAGGAAUGUGUCUAUGAUGUGGGUCGAUGGAGCACCGUAUCAGAGAUUGCUGAUAACAUUCUGAUCAAAUACAAGCUCCAGCUCCAGGAUUUGUUCAGCCUUAGUGGGUAGUUCAACAACCGCCUAGGGGCCGUGGUUCGGCUAGGGGUGGUAACGGUAUGGGUAAAGGUUAGAGAGUAUUGGGUAGAGGUGCUAAUCAGACUGAGUCGAGGUAGCCUUUGUUGGUUUACGCUCCUAGACAUUGUGAGGAUAGAGACGUCGUUGAUGUUAUUACCGGUACAUUUUUUUAUCCAUAUUGCCCAUUAUUUUGCAUUGAUAGAUAUAGGGUCAACACAUUCCUAUGCAGCUAGCUCUGUUUCUCUAAACUUGGGGAUUUCUGUUAAGAGCACUUCCGGAGAGAUUAUUAUACUUAGUUCAUUGGGUUAAUCAUUUUGGGUUAAUAAAUUGUAUAGGAUCGUACCGUUGGAGAUUCAAAGGGUUGUGUUUCCAGCUAAUAUGAUGGAGCUACCAUUUGGGGAAUUUGAUUUGAUUUUGGGAAUGGACUAGCUCGUGGAUCGUCAGGUCAGUUUGGGCUGUGCUAGUAAGAGGGUAGUUAUGAUAUUAGAGAAUGAUGUGGAGGUGGUUAUGAUCGACAAGCAUCGGGAUUAUUUAUCCAAUAUGAUCUCCGCUCUUGUGGUCGAAAAGUUAGUUUGAAAAGGGUGUGAAGCAUAUUUGGCUUUUGUGAGUGACUCAACUUUUGUGGGUUCGUCAGUUAGGACAUUCGGAUGGUUAAAGAGUUUCUUAAUUUUUUUCCCAGAAGUUACCGGAUUUGCCUCCGGAUUAGGGGGUCAAGUUCGGUAUUGAGCUUCUAUCGAGUUCAGCUCCGGUGCCCAUCACUCUUUAUCAUAUGACACUGAAAGAGCUUAUAAAGUUAAAAGCUCAGCUUUAGGAACUCCUUGAUUGAAGUUUUAUCCGUCUCUGUAUGUCUCCUUGGGGGCACUAGUUUUAUUUGUAAAGAAGAAUGAUGAUAUCAUGAUGAUGUAUAUCGACUACUGACAGUUGAAUAAGUUAAAGGUAAAGAAUAAGUACUCACUUCUGAGAAUUGACAAUUUGUUUGAUUGAUUUCAUGGGGCUAUGUGUUUUCCAAGAUAGAUAUCCGUUCUGGGUGCCAUCAGCUCAAGGCUAAGGAGGUCAAUGUUCAUAAGACUACUUUUAGGACUCGUUAUGGGCACUACGAGUUCCUAGUCAUGCCCUUUGGUUUGACGAAUGCUCCGGUUGCAUUCAUAGAUCUUAUGAACUGAGUUUUUCAACCCUACUUGGAGCAGUUAGUCAUGGUCUUCAUAGAUGACAUUCUGGUGUACUCUAAGACUGAAGAUGAUCAUGAUGAGCAUCUUAAAGUAGUUCUUCAAAUACUCCAGGAGAAACAGUUCUACGCUAAGUUGAGCAAAUGUGAAUUCUGGUUGAAGGAGGUGACUCUUCUGGGGCAUGUGGUUUCUACGGAGGGGAUCCGAGUUGAUCGUAGGAAAAUUGAAGAUGUGCUUAAGUAGAAACAGUCUAGGAAUGUUUCUAAGAUCUGCAAUUUUCUUGGGCUUGUGGGUUAUUAUCGGAGUUUUGUCAAGGGGUUUUCUUUAAUUGCAGUUCCUUUCACUAAGUUGUUGCGUAAGAACGCCCCAUUUGUUUAAGUUGUUGCAAAUCACCUAAAAAUGCUUCUAGCUGGAAGUGUUUUCAUAAAAUCGGUCUAUUCCUGUAAAUUUUCAAAAAUAAGUCUAUGCAUGUAAUUAUAUUUAAACUAAGUCUAUUCAUGUAUAGAAGUUGCUAUGGAUUCCAAAAGGGGAUGGAAUUGUAAUAUUUCCACAUACUUCUUUAGCACAGGCAGGUUCUUGAAAUUCUGCUGCUUGUAAAAUUGGGCAUAACAGGAAGUAUGAAGUAGGAGGAUGAAGUAAAGCGCUAAUUGAAAAUCCAUUUUCGUUGCUAUUUUGAUUGAGGGAAAUGAAUGAAGAUUUAGAUUGGGUUACUGAAGAAAUCAGGUUUUAAAGAAACAAAAGCAGGGUUAAGUAGCACCACGAGAUAUAAAUUAUAAUUCUUAAAGUAGCACCACUAGUGAUUUUCUUUUGUUUUUAUAAUUAGCACCACUAAAUGUAAAUUAUAAUUCUUAAAGUAGCACCACUAGUGAUUUUCUUUUGUUUUUAAAAUUAGCACCACUAAAUGUAACUUAUAAUUCUUAAAGCAGCACCACUAGUGUUUUUCUUUUCUUUUUAAAAUUAUUACCAUUAGAUGUAAAAAUAAAUUAUAAUUGUUUUAGACGUAAAUUUAGUAAUAUGAAUGAAAAAAAAAUAUCUUCACCUAUUUAAAAUUUUCUUUAAAUUUGUACUUCUAUAUAUACUAUAGGCUUCAUUUUUACUUGGAGUUUGUCCCUAGAAAUAUAAUCAUACCUAUCUGCUCACGUCAAUCCCACAAGUCUCUCAUUUAUUUUUAUUUAACAUAUUAUAUAAAUUAUACUUUAUGAAUGAAUAAACAAAUGAAACUUACAUAUUUAAUAAUAAACUGCACAUUUCCUUAAAAAAAGAUAAUAUACCGCACAUGUUACAAUGCAUUUUCCAAAAAAGAAAAAGAAAUGUGACCAUAUUAUAUAAUUUAUAGUACAAACAAAGGUACUCAUAUUUUACAGUUCAUCAUUUUUAAUGUUUGAGCCGUUUAUGGACUGUAGUCGGCCAACACGAUUUGGUCGGAAACAAGUGAAUAUAUUACGGAUAAACUAUUGUAGAGUUCACUAAAUUACAGUUUUCUUUAAUGGUUGGAUUAUGAAAAGUUACAAAAUAGUUAUUCAAUUGUUAUUAAAUUUUUGUUUUAAUCAUUCACUGGCUAACAUAAAAAUAGAAACACUUAAAAUUUAAGAUAGUUAGGUGAUCAAACAAAGACGAAAUCAAAUAGUUGAGUAACUAUUUUACAACUUUUUAAAGUUGGGUGAAUAAAAAAAAAGAAUUCCAUAGUUGGGUGACAACUAAUGUACUUUACCCAUACAUUAUAUUAUAUUAUAUUUCACAUGUAAAACAACCUUAUUUGCUACGAGUCAUUUUUUUUUGUCCUUCUCAGUCCCCUCUAUUAGGGGUAUAAUUGAGAUUCUGAUGCUUGCAAGAUUACUUGAGUUUGAUUUGAAAAAAAAUUGAAUUUGACUCAAAAAUUAUUGAGUUGAGCUCGAGCUAUCGAUCGAGCCAAAUUCAAGCUUAGUAAUACUUGGCUUGAAUAGCUUUCAUAUUUUUUAUAUUAUUAAGUUACUUGAUUUUCCUUAAUUAACGAGCCGAGCUCAAGUACAAAAAAUUGAUAAACGAGUUUAAUCGAGCUCGAAUUCAAGUAGCUCGGUUAUAUCUCAAGUGAGCUCGAACUUAAAAACAAAUGUUCAAUUAAACUCAAAUCAAAUAUUGAGUUUCAAAAUUUAAAUCGAGCUUAGUAAUAUUCAAACUCGGCUCGAUUACCCUCAACAAACUAAUCAGUAUAGCAAGUAUCUGCCCCCGUAAAAUGUGCAAUGCACCUCAUUUGCUCUCAUGGCAUCUUCUUUUCUAAUUCAAUGUACAGUAGAAAUUUCCAAGCUAGAUUUGCAAAGAAAGACGAUAAUCUCAACUUUGUUGACAAUUUCCUCACAAUCAAGCUAAAGUUUUCCUAUUCAGAAGCUUUUAUGGAAAAGUCAACUCUCCUCAUCACAUACAAUCUUUAUCAUAUGUGCGUUUUUUUAAUAUAGUAUAUGCGAUUUAUGUUGAAUAUAUUCAAUAUAUUUUGAAAAACCAGCAAGCUAACCAAGUAUACAACAAUAAACAAUAUCAAAUUUGUUCCCAAGAUAUUUGUGGACCUGCUGCUGUAUUUUCAUCUUAAAGUAAGAAUUAAGAGUUGUGUAAAAUGAGUAACUUUCCAUGUGGGGUUUUAUGAUGGGAAACCACUCAGAAACCUUCUUUCAACUUAGUUUCUUUAAAAAAUAAUAAUGCAUUUUAGAAUUAUCUGGAAAACAUCCAAGCAAAGCAAAACCUAUUCCAUGAUGAAUGCUUUUUCACUUGUUAGCCAACUUACUUUAAGAAGUGUUAGUGACAUUUUGAGAUAAACUUAGUUGAUUUUUGUUUUGUUGAUUUGCCUUUUUAAAGUGAAACCAUCAGUUUUACUAUUGUAUGUUUUUUAAAAAAGAUUCAGGUCACACAACUCUAACACAACAGGUAUAAAUAAAUUUUAUAAUUAUAAUUGUAAAAAUUUAUAUAACUUAUUAAUCAAAUAAAAAGUUAUAUAACAUAAUGAAAAUAAUUUUAAUUAAAUUUAUUUAAAAAUAUAAAAUUAAUUUAACAUUUUAUAAUUUUAUAAUACCACGUCAUUAGAACUAAUAUAUAUCCUCAAUAAAUUAAAAUUCACAUGUGAAAGAAGACAAUAUUAUAAACAAUUGAGCCAAUGUUUUUGGUUUCAAAAUCUUUUGUGGAAAAAUCCGCACUUCAAUGGUGAUGAGUAGCGAUUACAUACUACCUUUAAUUAAAGGAGGCAAAAGCUGAUCCGUGUAUUGAAUACUUUCCCAUUUGUUGCAACAUACUAAUACUAUAGAUAUAGAAAACAAAACGUGAUGAAUGAUGAAUGCUUUUCAACCUACUUUACUGGGUUUCCAUACUGUAUAUGUUUUUCUUUCUAUGCCAACAACAGUAGUCAAUGUGCCCUGCUUUAUUUGUGGACCUGCUGCUGUAUUUUCAUCUUAAAGUAAGAAUUAAGAGUUGUGUAAAAUGACUAACUUUACGUGUGGGGUUUUAUGAUGGGAAACCACUCAGAAACCUUCUUUCCAUAAUAAUCGGAAAACAUCCAAGCAAAGUGAUGAAUGCUUUUUCACUUGUUAGCCAACUUACAUUUUUUUUUUAGCUUUUAGAGACAAACAAAACAUGAUUAACUGUUUGUUAGACUCGUCUGAUUAAACACGGUUUACGCCAUAUACCAUAUAUGAUAACAAAGAAAUUCUCCAAUUUGAUCCACUCUUGUGCUUUCUUUCUAUGUGAACAACAAUAGUUAAUAUAUUCAAUUUCACGAAACUCCGAUAAAAUUACUGCAGAAGUUUAUCGAGAAUUAAUUUUUUUAUAGCGAUUUUCAUACGGAAAAUUCUAAUUCAAGAGUUUGAGAAGUCAUUGCUGGGCUUUUGGUAGUUAAUAGGUUUUGAAUGAGCUUGGAUUAAGUUGAAAGAGAGGAGAAAUUGAGAUUUUUGGACUAAAUUGCAAAGUUGCUUCAUCUACCAUGGAUUAUUGGGCAAAUCUAGUGAGAUAUAAGGAUUCUAUUCCCGAUACAUGGAGAUAGUUCUUUCUUUUAUUUGGAUUAAGGGCUAAUUACAAAUUUCUCCAAGAAUAGGAUCUUUCAAUAAACAAUCAAUACAAGAAGGGAUUGAGCCACUUUAUUUAUUUUGAGAAAGCGGAGUGUACUCCAGUUUCAUCAAAUGACACAAAGCUAGAGGAAUACGACCAGUAAAAACUAUUAUUAGUGAGGGAUAAAAGGCUGAUGUUGUUCAAAAUUAAAUCUUGAAGGAUUCAACUAUAACCUUCCUAACUCGGUUAAGAUGUUAUGGUUGAAUUUUGAAGACUACAUUAGCCAUCGAAAUGGCUCCAUAGAACCAAUCAAAUUUGAAAACAUUCUUUUUAACUAACUUUUAGAAAGCUUAAUGUAACUGCCUUGGGAUUAUCAAAACGUCAUUAUUAAGUUGAGUUAACUUAAGAGUCCAAUCUAAUAAGUGUUGUGGCAUUUUGAGGUAAACUUUGUUGAUUUUUGUUUUGUUGAUUUGCCUUUAUCUAAAACUCCAAUUACAUUAUUACGUAGUGGAAAAAGUGAAACCAUCAAUGUAUUUUUUAACAAAGAUUUGGGUUACACAAUUCUAACCAAUACAAAAAAAAAUUAUAAUAAAUGAUAUAAAUAAAAUUUAUAUAACUUAUUAAUCAAAUAAAAAGUUAUAUAUCUUUUUAUAUAUGUAGUCAAUUUUAUAAUAACUUAUUGAAAGUAUAUAUUAUUGGUAUGUUUCAUGUCUAUAUUACGAUCUAUGAUUGGAGUAUAUGACUACCUCUUCCAACAAUAUCGUCUUCAAGGUUUGAACACGUACUCUCUCUUUCAAAUUGUAAUAUACUUCACCACUACGCUCAACGCUUAUUGAUAGCUUAUCAAAAAAUUUAUAUUUUUAUAUGAUGAAAACUAAUUUGAAAAUCCAUAAAACCAAUUAAUUUUCAUCAUAAAAAAAUUAAAAUGCAAUGUUAUUUAAAUCGAACUGUCUAGUUGAACUAAAAAUCGAUUGAAAUUUCGAUUUAGAGGAAGGUAAAAGUUCAGUUGACCAGAAGAGAAUUAUAAAAAGUUUAAUUGUUUGAAUCGUAUUUUAUAAUUGUUAAUAUUUUAUUUUUAUAACUUUUUAAUAAUUUAUUUGAUUUGCACUUAACAUACUAAAAAUGGACGAUGUAAUUGUUUCUAUCACUUAUCCAUUCCAAAAACAUUAUAUCAUAUUCAACUUGAAUUGGAAGCUUUUUGAAAUUAUGUAUUAAGAUAUUCAAUUUGAUUGGUUCGAGAGUUGUUGACAGAGCAGUAAUGGCGUCGAGGAAAAUGGCGAUAAAGGAUAUGUUGGAUUCUGUUAAUAUCCCUUGCUUUCUUUAGUUGUACUCUCUCAAUGAAGACUUACUAUUACUAUGAUGAGUUACUCACCUCUUCUUAUUUAUAUCUGAAGAAGAAGAAGAAGAAGAAGAAGAAGAAGAAUAAGAAGAAGAAGAAGAAGAAGAAGAAGAAGAAGAAGAAGAAGAAGAAGAAGAAGAAAAAGAAGAAGAAGAAGAAGAAGAAGAAGAAGAAGGUCAAGGAUGAAGAAGAGCAAAAUGAGGUCCUUUUUUAUUAACGAUUUCAUCGACUUAGCAAAAGGAAAAGAAAAACAUAUCCAUAACUUGUAUGAUAAAUACCUUCAAGAGGUCAAAUAACAUUGAGUGAAACAAGUAUGAAUUCUUGGGAAACCACAAGACUCCACCAGUGUGACAAACAGCGAAGCUAAAGGCUAUCAAUCUAAGAGAAAUUGUUUCAGGAGUGUUGGAAACUAGAAAGAUGAAUUUAAUGGAAAAGUUACACUGUUGGUUGUAAUUGUCCUAGACAUUGAACAACUUGGAUUGGUCUCCCAUGAAUGGAUCAUGUCAUCUGUUUCAGAUUCUUCAUCACCAUGGUCUUCAAGAACAUUUUAUUGGCAAUAAUCUUUGACUUUUCAAAGAUGGAUGGUGUCAGAAAUUUGGCACCGAAAAUCUAAGCAUUUAAGGCAUAGAUUUUUGGGUUGAAAUUUGGCAUGGGAUAAUUGCAAUUUUGGUCCCAAAUUGCAUAGGGAUUUUGCAAGUUGAUCCUUGAGCUUCAACUAUAAAUAGGGCUAGCUAUUUCUCAUUUUCAACAUCCCACACAUGCCAUUCUCUACUUAAGGCAUUGUUCUCUCUCCUUAUUUGUAAAUUUUCACUUGUAUUUUGGAGUGAAAUAUAUUUGGUAGUGCCCGAGGAAGUAGGCAAAAUUUGCUGAACCUCGUUAAAAUUCUAGUGUUCUUUAUUGUUUAUUCUGCAUAUUUUGCGAGUGUGAUUGUAGUGAUUUAUUGUGCUAUUAAAUUAUGAUAGAGGGAUAUUCUGGCUAGGAAAGACUUGGUACUUAAGCGAUCCUCAUGAUCCACCUCUCUUUCCUGAGAAUUGAACUUAAUGUGAUUUUUUAGUACAAUAAUUUUACUCUUUUACACGCUUCCGCUCAACAAUUGGUAUCAGAGCUAGAUUCGUACUUGGGGAAUACGACCGUUUAUGAUACUAUUUAUGUAUACGAUAUUGUUCAUCCAUGGCACUAUUCACGUAGACGGUACUGUUCACGUAUACAGUAGUUGGGAUCGAGGAGAAGAAUGGCAGAGGCAUCGUCAUCAACAAAGACUACCGUGACCAAUGCAAAAUUUGAAGUAGAGAAAUUUGAUGGUACCAAUAAUUGGUAUGUGGCAAUGUGAGAUCCUGGAUGUCUUAUGUCAGCAAGAGUUGGAUAUAGCUCUUGAAGAAAAACCUGACAAGAUGGAUGAUAAGGAGUGGCCCAAGAUCAAUAGACAGGCGUGUGGUACAAUCCGCCUAUGUUUGGCCAAAGAGCAGAAGUACUCUGUCAUGAGGGAGACAUCAGCGAAGAAGUUGUGGGAUACACUGGAAGAAAAGUUUCUAACGAAAAGUCUUGAAAAUAGGCUUUAUAUGAAAAAGAAACUUUGUCAAUUCACGUAUGCACCCGGUAUGUCGAUGAAUGACCAUGUGAACUCAUUCAAUAAAAUUUUAGCAGACUUGCUAAAUUUGGAUGAGAAAUUUGAAGAUGGAGACAAGGCAUUAUUGUUGUUGAAUUCUCUUCCUGAUGAAUAUGAUCAUCUUACCACCAUAUUGCUUCAUGGGAAGGAUACGAUCACAUUUGAUGCAGUCUGCAGUGCGUUGUGUAGAUCUGAGACUCGAAAGAAAGAUAAAAGAGAUCACAGAGAUACAACUGCAGAAGUCUUAGCAGUAAGAGGUCGUUCACACAGCAACAAACCUGGUGGAAGGGGUAAGUCCAAAGGGAGACCUGCCAAAGAUUAAUGUGCUUUUUGUCGUGAGAAAGGGCAUUGGAAAAAGAAUUGUCCUAAGUUACAAAAGGGCAAGGCUAUUUCUGAUGCAUGUGUAGCGGAGCAUGAUGAGGAGUCUGACUUUAGCUUGGUUGGCAUGGCAAUUACAUGUCAUACGGAUGAGUGGAUUUUGGAUUCGGGAUGUAUUUACCAUAUGUGUCCUAAUAAGGACUGGUUUUCUAGUCUUGAAGAACUAGAAGGUGGAGUUGUUUUUAUGGGCAAUGACAGUGUCUGUAAGACAAUGGGAGUAGGUACAAUCAAAUUGAAGAAUCACGACGGCUCAAUCCAAGUCUUGAUGGAUGUUCGCUAUGUACCUAGCUUGAAGAAAAAUCUCAUCUCAUUAGGGGCCCUAGAAUCUAAAAGGCUCACAAUCACUUUGAGAGAUGGAUUACUAAAGGUUGUAGCUGGGGUAUUGACGGUGAUAAAAGGCACUAGAAGAAAUAACUUGUACUAUUUAAAUGGAAGUACAGUUAUUGGAUCAACAUCAACAGUUUCUGCGAAAGAUGCAGAUUCAGAGGCUACCAGGUUAUGGCAUAGGCGAUUGGGACAUGCUGGUGAAAAAGCUUUGCAGACUUUGGCGAAGCAAGGCUUGUUGAAAGGUGAAAAUUCUUGCAAAUUGGAAUUCUGUGAGCAUUGUGUUCUGGGCAAGUAGACGAGGGUAAAAUUUGGUUCAGCAAUUCACAAUGCAAAAGGAAUUCUGGACUACGUUCACAGUGACGUGUGGGGACUUACCAAAGUGGCUUCUUUGGGAGGUAUGCACUAUUUUGUUACUUUUGUUUAUGAUUAUUCAAGAAAAGUAUGGGUGUAUCUAAUGAAAAGAAAAAGUGAAGUUUUGGAUGCAUUUCUGAAGUGGAAGAAGAUGGUGGAGACUCAGACUGGUCGAAAGGUCAAACGACUUCGGUCAGAUAAUGGUACUGAGUACAAAAAUGAUUCAUUUCUACAAGUAUGUCAAGAUGAGGGCAUUGUGCGACACUUCACUGUUCGGGAUACACCACAGCAGAAUGGGGUGGCAGAACGCAUGAAUCGGACUAUACUGGAGAAAGUUCGAUGUAUGUUGUCCAAUGCUGGGUUGGGCAAGGAAUUUUGGGCUGAGGCAGUUACAUAUGUGUGCCAUCUAAUUAACCGGUUGCCAUCAGCUGCAACAAAUGGAAAAACUCCUAUGGAGAUGUGGACUGGUAAACCUGCUACUGAUUAUGAUUCUUUACAUGUUUUUGGUUCCACUGCAUAUUAUCAUGUAAAAGAAUCUAAGUUAGACCCAAGAGCAAAGAAAGUAUUAUUCAUGGGUAUAACUGGUGGAGUAAAAGGAUACCGUCUCUGGUGUCCUGAUACAAGGAAGAUUGUUUUCAGUAGAGAUGUGACUUUUGAUGAAUCAACCAUGAUGAAGAACAAGAUUCACAAAAGGAUGACAAAACCAGUGUUACUUUGUAGCAGGUGGAGCUUGAAAAAGUUAAUGAUGAUCCAGCUGAUAUUGAAGGAACAAAUGAUGAAGAAGUUUUAACCCAAGAACUUCUACAGCAACAAGAUUCAAUUGCAUAUAGGAGGCCAAGAAGAGAGAUUCGUAAGCCUGCUUGCUUUGAUAAUAUAGUGGCCUAUGCACUUCCAAUUGCAGAUGAUGAUGUUCCUUCUACUUACACAGAAGCAAUAAGUAACCCUGAUGGUGUAAAGUGGAAGCAAGCUAUGAAUGAAGAAAUACAGUAUCUUUAUAAAAAUAGGACUUGGGAGUUGGUGACACUGCCCAAGGGAAAGAGGCAAUUGGAUGCAAAUGGGUAUAUGCAAAGAAGGAAGGAUUUCCUGGUAAAAAUGAAAUUCGAUACAAGGCUAGAUUGGUAGCAAAGGGUUACGCUCAAAAAAAAGGAAUAGACUACAAUGAAGUGUUUUCUCUAGUUGUGAAGCAUUCGUCUAUUCAGAUUUUGCUAGCCUUGGUUGCGUAAUAUGACCUUGAACUAGUUCAGCUUGAUGUGAGGACAGCUUUUUUACACGGUGAUUUGGAAGAGGAAAUCUAUAUGACUCAGCCUGAUGGAUUCAAGGUUGCUGAUAAAGAAAAUUGGGUUUGCAAACUGACAAAGUCGCUUUAUGGAUUGAAAUAAUCUCCGAGGCAGUGGUACAAGCGAUUUGAUCAGUUCAUGAAAGGGCAAAGGUACAUGAGAAGUAAAUUUGAUCAUUGCGUGUAUUUUUAGAAGCUACAAGUAGGAACUUUCAUAUACUUGCUCUUAUAUGUUGAUGAUAUGCUGAUAGCAUCUAAGAGAAAAGUUGAGAUUGAGAGAUUGAAGACUCAACUCAAUCUUGAGUUUGAGAUGAAAUAUCUAGGUGAAGCUAAGAAGAUUCUUGGCAUGGAAAUAUGUAGAGAUAGAGCUAAAGGUAGAGUUAGUUUGUCUCAGAAGUAGUACUUGAAGAAAAUACUACAGCAGUUUGGCAUGAACGAGCAAACAAAACCUGUAAGUACCCUGUUGGCUUCUCAUUUCAAGCUUUCUGCACAACUAUCUCCUUCGACGAAUACGAAACAAAAAUACAUGUUACAAGUUCCAUAUUCUAAUGCAGUGGGUAGCUUGAUGUAUGCAAUGGUGUGUACAAGACCCGACAUUUCACAGGCAGUUAGUAUAGUGAGCAGGUAUAUGCAUAAUCCUGGAAAAGGACAUUGGCAAGCUGUGAAAUGGAUUCUACGGUAUACUUUGAAGACCGUGGAUGUUGGAUUACUGUUCAAGCAGGAUACUACACUUGGUAAAGGUGUUAUUGGGUACGUUGAUUCUGACUAUGCCGGUGAUUUGGACAAACGAAGAUCAACCACUGGUUAUGUGUUUACACUUGCUGGAGGACCAAUAAGUUGGAAGUCUACAUUGCAGUCUACAGUUGCAUUGUCAACUACGGAAGCCGAAUACAUGGCUGUAACAGAGGCUGUAAAGGAAGCUAUUUGGUUACAAGGUAUGGUUAAAACCUUGGGAUUGGUUCAGGAGCAUAUUAACGUGUUUUGUGAUAGUCAAAGUGCUAUUCAUCUAGAAAAGAAUCAAGUCUAUCAUGCACGUACAAAGCAUAUUGACGUACGAUUCCAUUUUGUGCGGGAAAUUAUUGAUAGAGGGAAAAUUCAUCUUUAGAAGAUCAAGACUGCAGAUAAUCCCGCAGAUAUGAUGACCAAGGUGGUAACAACAAUCAAGUUCGAACAUUGUUUGAACUUGAUCAAUAUCCUGCAAGUUUAACAGUUGAAGAAGGCACUAUCAAGUAUUGUUGUCAGAAAGAAUUGUGUGAAGAUAAGAAUCCUAAUCAAAUCUUCAAGGUGGAGAUUAUUGGCAACAAUCUUUGACUUUUCAAAGAUGGAUGGUGUCAGAAAUUUGGCACCGAAAAUCUAAGCAUUUAACGCAUAGAUUUUUGGGUUGAAAUUUGGCAUGGGAUAAUUGCAAUUUUGGUCCCUAAUUGCAUAGGGAUUUUGCAAGUUGAUCCUUGAGCUUCAACUAUAAAUAGGGCUAGCUAUUUCUCAUUUUCAACAUCCCACACAUGCCAUUCUCUACUUAAGGCAUUGUUCUCUCUCCUUAUUUGUAAAUUUUCACUUGUAUUUUGGAGUGAAAUAUAUUUGGUAGUGCCCGAGGACGUAGGCAAAAUUUGUUGAACCUCGUUAAAAUUCUAGUGUUCUUUAUUGUUUAUUCUGCAUAUUUUGCGAGUGUGAUUAUAGUGAUUUAUUGUGCUAUUAAAUUACGAUAAAGGGAUAUUCUGGCUAGGAAAGACUUGGUACUUAAGCGAUCCUCGUGAUCCACCUCUCUUUCCUGGGAAUUGAACUUAGUGUGAUUUUUUAGUACAAUAAUUUUACUCUUUUACACGCUUCUGCGCAACACAUUUCCACCUGAAGCGUUAAUCAACUCCAGCUCCAUUGCUACUUGUUUCAUGGUGGGUCUUCUCUUUCCAUUAAGAUUCAAGCAUCUUUUUGCUAGUAGGGCCACAACUAUAAUCUCCUGUUCUGGACCGUUCUUUUCUAACACUGGGUCGAGAAUGUUAAAUAAGGAAUUCUCCUGCAUUGAAUGCAAAAAAUAAGAUACCAAGCUUCUCACUGGCUCUGAUUGUUCUGCGGAGAUGGUUUUUGUCCUGUUAAAAGCUCAAUAAGAACAACUCCAAAGCUAUAAACAUCACUCUUCUCUGUAAAUUGACUUGAUCGAAAAUAUUCCGGAUCCAUGUAUCCAAAAGUUCCUUGUACCCGAGUGGUUAGAUGUGUUUGUUCAAGUGCAAUUGAUUUUGAAGUUCCAAAAUCUGAUACUUUUGCCCUAUAUUUAUCAUCCAAAAGUAUGUUAUUAGAUUUGAUGUCUCGAUGAUAAAUAGGAGCAGAAGCAGCUGAAUGCAAGUAGAACAAGGCAUUGGCAAUUUGAAUCGCAAUUCGUAAACGCAUUUCCCAUGUCAAUGGUAAUUCUUCAUUUUGGUUAUGAAUGAGAUCGUAUAAUGUACCAUUUGGGAUGAACUCAUACACCAAUAGAGGAACUUCAGCCUCUAAACAACACCCUAAAAGCUUAACCACGUUCCUAUGAUUAAUUUGAGAUAAAAUGAUCACCCCGUUAAUGAACUGUUCAACCUUCUUUUCAUCAAAUUUCUUUCCUUCCACCAUUUUGGAUUUCUUAAUAGCCACAAUGCUUCCAUCUAUUAGCAUUCCUUUAUAAACAGUCCCUUGACCUCCGUGACCAAGGAUUCGGUUUUCAUUAUAAGAAUCAGUCGCCUUUUUCAUCUCUUUUGAAGUAAACAACUUAAUUUUUUCAAUAUUACCUUCAUUGCUAGAUAAAUGUUGUUGCAGUAACAAACCUCCAUUCCUUUUGAAGUAUGAUUUUUUGUUUUCUUUUGAGGGCUCUGUACAUACUCCAUGUUGCGAGUAGUAAAAGUAGUGUCCCAACACUAGUGCUGCAACCUAUAUAGAUAGAAGAAACAUAGCUAAAGGUGAAUUUGAAAAUUAAAAUACAGGCUAAAAAACCAUGAAAAUGUUUCAAUAAAGUUUCAGUCAUUAGCCAUUCAUUUAAUGAACAAUGAGACAACCUUAUUACAUCAUUCAUUGUUUUCAUAUUGAACUUUUACAAAUUUAAUGAUAAAUAACAUUUAUUGUAUCACGCAUUUAAAAGUAAAUAAAUUACUAUUUAAAUUGACAUAAAUUAAAUAAUCAUAAUGAUUCCACUUUAAAAACAAGAAGUGUAAAUUCACCAUGUACCUACAAUAAAGCUUUUCAAAUUAGGAGUGUUUUGAAUUCGUACUUUGCGCUCGCAAUAAAGUCCCGUACUAUUGUAUUCAUAAUGAGGAGGGCAAGACUUUGACGAGCAAUAGUUGUUAGGGGUAUUCAAGCAAAGUAUGCUGCAAUACAGGUAAUUAUCACAUUUCCCACCUGCCAUUUAUGAAUUAAAAAAAAACAAAGAGAGAGGUUAUAAUCGUAUAAUUCAAUUAAAGUAUUGAAUUAAAUUAGUUUCUCUAUUAUUAAAUCGAUCAAUUUAAUCUCUAUACUAUUAAAAAGAAUUAAAUAAAUUUAAAUUAUAACAACAUUAACAUUUACUAUAUAAAAAAUAUUUAUUUGGCUUCUUUAAUUCUUUUUAUUCAUUUUUAUGGAAGUGACUAAAUUAAUUUAUUUAAUACCUUUUCCUCUUGUUCGUUAAAAUUACGCGUAGGAUUAUUCUAGCAAUAUGUAUGCAAAACCAUUAUUUGAAAAAAAAAAUAUUUAAAGCAUGAAAAUAAAAACCUCAUUGAGUAGUUAUUAGGAUGAUUUUGUUCAAAUUUCAUUAUACUUACUCAUUUUUGUAGAUUUUACAAAAAUAUAGAAUGAAAAAAAAUACUCUCAUAAUAAUAUUUUUUUUUAUAAAAGUAAUAGAUUUUCAUAAUUUUUCAACCGAGUUGAGACUCAAUUGAUGGGUAACACCAAUUCAAUUAGCCCUUUAAAAAAUAAUACAAAUUUAAGGCAGAUCCAUAAUGUGAGUGGAAAACAAUAUGCAAUAAACAUAUUUGUUAAAAGCUUAUAUAAGAAUCAAAUGAAUUCUUGAUUGAAAUGAUAAAGUUAAAUUUUAAAAUUUAAUGUGUGAAAGGUUCAAAUCUCACCAUGUUAGGUUUAUUAUGGAUUUUAUAUAAAAAUGUAAAAAUAUGAGAAUACCCUUAAAAUAAUAUAACUUAAUUUGUAUAAAAGAUAUUUUAAUAAAUUUUCGAUUAUGGUAUUAAGUAAAGAUAAUAUAGAUAAAAGAAUAAAAGUUCCCUAAAAAACCAUUAACUCAUACCUUUGCAUGACCUCGAAUAACUGAUAUCACUAGUAUCCUUGGAGCACACACAUAGAUGAGUAGAGCUCAACCUCGACCAACAAUAGUCACCCUCGAGUAUACAAGAAGUGUCCGAACUAUCGUUCAAAUAGCACUCUCUAUAUAUUAGUGUGCCCCAUUGCAGUUGCAUUGGGACAUGCGUCCUAUUACUUAGAUCAAAAUCAUCGGUGGAAAAAGAGUCAUAAGAAGCCAAGGAAACAAAUUCGCAUGAUCUUUUCCUCUUGUAAUCACUAGAAUCAACCACAUUACUCAUGUUUGCUAAGAAUGAACUGAGACCCUUAGGAAUAGUAAGAGGACAACUAACAAUAGAGGAAGUCUUGUCAUUAAUCCUACAACUUGGUUGCAAAAAUCCGCCUAUAAGAUUAUUUGUUUCAUUGCCUAAAAUAGUAAUCAAAUUACCACAACCUGAAGACCAGAAGUUGUUUUUAGAAUCUGAGUAGUAAAAGUGGGUGCCUGUUAGGUUGACACUCAUUCCAUUGUGAUGGUUUUUUUGACAGUUGGAGUAAGUUAUUGAAUGGUUGACAAUGAGGGUGCCAUCAAAAAAAAUUAAAGUCCAAUAUUUGCAGAUUCGUGCCAUUUAUGUUUAAGAAGGGCAAUUUUUACCCGUUGGCAGUUUUGGUGCAAUUUACUUUAAACCAGUCAUUGGAAUCAUCCUUGUCCUCCAUGCUAAAAGGGUAGUGAAAUUUAACAUUCCCAGUGCAAUUUACUUUAAACCAGUCAUUGGAAUCAUCUUUGUCCUCCAUGCUAAAAGGGUAGUGAAAUUUAACAUUCCCACAGUUCUCCACCUUGUAGGUGCUGAACUUCAUAAGUUCCAGUCCUGGUCUUUUGCAUCCUGCGGGCUUAGCGAAAAGGAAGUAAAUUACAAAAUCUACUAAAUGCAUGUACAUCCAAUGUUUGUAGGAAAUAAAAGCAAUGUGUCCUUCAGAAAAAUAUAUAAUUAUCUAAAAACAAGGUACAUAUACUAACAAAAGUAUUAUAUUGUAAAUAUAGGAGUUUAGGCUCCAUAUCAAGCAAUCCUAUUCUUUACCUCUAAUUAUUAAAAUAAAUAAAUAUUUACUAAAAAAUCAUAUGAAAAGUGUUAUAAGUUUUUUAAUUAAAUUUAUGUGUUAUUUGUGACAUUAAAUUCAAUAAAGGAUUUCUUAUUAAUAUAGUUACCAAUAUAAAUCUUAUGGUUGAAUUUGAUGUCAUUCACUAUUUUUAAUUAAAAAUACUUGCCCUUUAAAAACCUUUAAGGUACAAGCUUCUUACCUAAAACAUUUUAGGUAUUAAUUUAAGUUUUUGAAAUACAAAAGUUUUACCUAUAAGUUUUCUUUUUCUAAAAACUUUUAGGUAUAAAUAUUUGAAAAAGGAAAAUAUUAAUAUACAAAAUGAAUGAUUCUAAAGAUAAUUUUUAGACUAAUUUACUAAUAAAUGUCGAAAAUUUUUAAAACAAUUACGUGAAUAAGUUGAUUUUUGGAAAACGUUUUUAAUUGAAAGCAUUUUCAAGUGAUUUGUAGAAAAAUGUUUCCCACUAGAAGCAUUUUCAACGUAUUGACAAAAAAAUGCUUCCAACUGAAAGCACUUUUGUCACAUCAACAUUAAAAGAGGCAACGCCAAUAUUUUUUUUUAUUUCUUAAUGUCACUUAUUAAUGUGAAAAUAAACUUAAAAAAUAAGUUUUUAUAUAAACCCAAAGUCUCAUUUUUCUUAUUUUCUUAAAUGAUGUGGAUGUGUGAUAUGAGUAUAUAUAAGCUCAUAAUUUAUUUACAGCAUGUACCUAGACAAUAUGGGAUUGCUUACUCUUCUAACUAACAGCAUAAGAUUAUAGCCAUGUUUGUUUGGUUUCUUUUAUUAUUAUUAUUAUUAUUAUUAUUAUUAUUAUUAUUAUUAUUAUUAUUAUUAUCUUCUUUUAAAUUAUACUUUUAUACCAUUGUUGUAUAAAAUAAAAGUUGGAAUAAGCAACCUUCAAAUUAUAUAGUUUUUGGUUGGAUAUUAAUUUUUUUAUCAAAAAACAAUCUAAACUAUAAUUUCAUAAGAAAAAAUGUUGGUAUAAGAGUAAGCAAUCUCACAUUAUCUAAGAACAAAUUACAAAUGAAUUAUGAGUCUAUAUAAACUCAUAUCUUACAUCAUUUAAGAAAACAAGAAAAAUGAGAUUUUAGGUUUAUAUAAAAACCUAUUUUGUAAGUUUUAUAUUCACAUUAUUAAGUGACUUCAAAAAAUAAAUAAAAUAAAUAUUAACUUUGCCACUAUCGGUACUGAUGUGAUAGAAAAUACUUUCAGUUAGCAGUAUUUUUUUUUUGAUUUUUUGUCAAUAUAUUGAAAAUGCUCGUAAAAUUAAUCUAUUCCUAAAAAAAAUUAAAAAUCAACCUAUUCACCUAAUUUUUUUAAUUUUUCCGACUUAUUAGUAAAUUAUUCUUGAUUUUAAACAAUUAGCAAAAUCUAUACAUUAACUGAAUUAAAAGGAAAAAUGACAGCCAAGCAUUUGAAGUGACAGCGCGUGACUGACCUCCUUCACCGCAAUAGGUGGAAUUCCAGCUGAGCACGGCGGGAACAUGCGAGGUUCGAUUAUUGAUGCCACUGGGUAAUGAGUAACCAGUACUGGAAGAAUACACGCUAAAGAUGAAAGCAGAUGCGCAGCUUUUGCUGUCAGGAUACAUGGCUGUCAUGUUGACAGUAUAGGAAGUGAAAUUUGCAGUAAUUAGAGUAAUGCAGCCAGAUUCAGAAGCACCAUCGUCAGACCUUAGGUGAAUGCAGCCGCCAAGUGAAUCACCUUCGUUACUUAAAAUAGUAGCCAAAUUUCCAAAACCUACUGACCCGAAAUAAUUCAUGUCACUUGGGAAGAAAAAUGGAGUGCCUCAGAGAUCCACUCUCACACUAGCCUUAUUACAGUUAAUAUAAGUAACUGGAUUAUUGAUGAGAAUAGCGUCUGAAUAUUUGAAAUCAAGUACCUCCAGAUCGAUGCCAUUUACGUUUAUGAAUGGCAUUUUCGCAUUGCGGGUUUUGUUGCAAGUUACUCUAAACCAAGGAUGAGUAUAGCAUCCGAUAUGGAUUCCAAAAGGGGAUGGAAUUGUAAUAUUUCCACAUACUUCUUUACCACUGCAGGUAGGUUCUUGAGACUCUGCUGCUUGUAAAAUUGGGCACAACAGGAAGAGGAAGAGGAAGAGGAAGUAAAGCGGUAAGUGAAGACCCAUUUGCGUUGUUAUUUUGUUUGAGGGAAAUGAAUGAAGAUUUAGAUAGGGUUACUGUAGAAGUCUGGUUUUAAAGAAACAAAAGCAGGGUUAAGUAGCACCACGAAAUUGUAAAUUAUAUUUCUUAAAGUAGCCCCACUACUCUUUUUCUUUUUCUUUUUAAAAUUACCAUCACUACAUGUCAAAAUAAAUUAUAAUUUUUUACAUCUAAAUUUAGUAAUAUGAUAAAAAAAUGUCUUUAAUUAUUUAUUUAAAAGUCUUUUUAACUUCGUGCUUUUAUAUAUAUAUUAAGUGUUUCACAUUUAUCUGAAGUCCCCUCCUAUAAAUAUAUUUAUUCCUACCCCACCACGUAAAUCCAACGAGCGAGUCUCUUAUCUAUUCUUAUUCAAUCAUGACGGAAAUAAGACAAAAUAAAAAUACUCACAUUAAAUUUAGAGAUAAUUAGAUUCGAAUUGAUGACUUUCACAUAUAAUAUUCUACCACUAAAUCAUAUUCCUUUCCUGCCCAAUCAGGAAAUAGAACCAAGUAUUGGACAAAUGUGUAGCGAAACAAAAUUUUCUUCCGUCAAUGGCUCUUAUGAGCUUCUCGAUAAUUAGCUUUUCAAAGCUUCCCGAUAACUGGCUCUUAUGAGCUUCUUGUUAUAUGGCUUGACAGAGCUUCCCGUUUAUGUGCUUGUAUGAGCAUUCCUGAAUAUGAAUUGACGAAUUACAGUUUUGUAACUUUGUGCACGUACUACCUGUGUAUCCAUCGACAUUUUAAAUGAUUCAACGGGCAAAAUCCUGACAUGAGAAAAUAUGAGUUCGAAAUGAAUCAUUACUUGUAUAUGCAUGAAACACAUGGAAAUUUGAUAUUUGAUGAGCUCAUACUUGUCCUCCAGCCAUCUCAUCUCGAUUCGACUACCCCCUAAACUUGUUCGACACCUUCCUUAGUAGUUGCUCGCAUGUUACAGUCCAAUCAACACUAAUCAGGCCCUAUAAUGACUUCCCCAUUGACCGGUAGACUGAGUUGUAAACUAACGUCCUAAAAUGUAAUCGUACACUCACCGCAGGGAAUAUGUAAUGUGUGUGCCUCGUGUGCCCAUCUUUCGACCAAGGCACUGAUAAGUGGGGAAUCCAAUUUAUUCCUUUCGAGCAUGCGAGCUACGUAUAAAAAUCAUACAUCUUGCAAGUGUCCAUAAAUGACACUCGAUGCACCUUCACUUAAAUUGUUUAUGUACGUCUCCAAAAUCCGAUCUUUAGGUUGAGUAUAUAAACAUAAAAAAAUAAUAAUCUAAACAUCAUAAUAAUUAACUACUUAAAAUUAAAUAAUUUAAUAAUUAUUUCUUACUAUUUGUUAAUGCCGGAGAUAUGCUUGUCAUCCAAACAAAUAAGUUGAUUUACGAUUUAAAAAUUUUAAGGAAUAAAAUAAAAUCGAAGAGAAUAGAAUUCAGAAAAAUAAUUAAAAAAGUAAUUGAGAAAUGAGAAUUGAUAAUUAAGAAUUGAGGAUUGAGGAUUGAGGAUUGAGAAAUGAAAAUUGAGGAUUGAGAAUUUAGGAUUGAGGAUUGAGUAUUGAGUUGAAAAGAAUGAGGUUUGGAGGGGGUUUAUAAAGGAAAAAUUGUGGUUGUUGGACUCCUUUUAGUCGUUGAAAAAGUUACAAUUGGAAUAGUUACUGUUGAAAGAAAAUGCAUCCUAUAGGGUACUUUUUUUUCUCUCUCUAAAAACAAUGCAGAUCAAUAAAUUAAAAAAAACGGCACACUUUCUUAGUUGCUUUUUUUAGCAUAUUUAUAAAAAUUAUCCCCUACAUUUUAGAUUUUUGGUUUUUAAUAGAUUUAAUUUGAGUUUAGUCUAAAAUUUGGAUUCAAAGGUCUUUCAAUUUAUAGGUUUUAAAAUUUCAUUUUUCUAAAUUUUAGAAUUUUUAAGUUCUUAAUGUUAGAUUUUAAAAUCCUAGAAUUUUAAGUUCAAUUCCGCUUAUUUUUAGAAUUUUAUAGUUUUUUUUAGUUAACCUUGAAAUUUAGAUAAUAAUUGUAGAAUUUCGAAUUUCAUUUAGUAUUAUAUAUUUAGACAUCUUCUUUCCUUUUUAUUAAGUUUAUUCGGAGUCAAGACUAGAAUUUUAAAACCUUAAACAUUAAGCCUUGUAUUCGAAUAGGUAUUGUAAGGAUGCUUUAACCUUUUCUACACAUAAUUGUAUUUUAGAACCCAUAUUUGAUUAUAAGAUCAUGCGAAGAUUUUCCCUUUGAUUUGUUUUAGGAUUAACUUUAAAAUUUUGGGUGAUAGGUGACUAACCGACCAAGCUCAAAUUAGUUAAUGAUAACUUCACUUUUUAGUUUUUUGUGUCUAGCUUGUUAGGUUCAUCCCUAACAUAUUAUGACAACUUAGCGACUCCACCACGAACUCUAGUUUCAAGAGUCUAUCUACUUUAGGGCUUGGCUUUAAGGUUUUUGUUGUAAGUUGAAUAUGUAGUUAUAUUUGUUGUAAAUUGUCAUUCACUUUACACAUGAAUUUGAUCCUAUUCCCUCAUUCGGCCUAUUAGGAAGAGUGGUCUUGGGCUUUCAUGUAGUCCUUUCCAUAGCAUAAAUUAUUUUUUAAAAUCGAUAGUAGAUUUAUCAUUUAUUUAUUGAUUUCUUUAAGUGUUUAUAUGUCCAUGUUUAUAAUUCAUUAAAAGUAAAAAUAUAUAUAAUGUUAAAUGAUUCAAAAAAAUAUUUUAUAAAAUCAAUAGAAAAAAAUUAUAAUGCAACUAUCCGAUUGGAUUGGUAAUCGAUUGAGAUACCGAUCCAGAAAGGUAAAAAUAGGUGAUUUACAAACUGAGCUAAAAACAGUUGAACCGAUUGAAUUGUAUUUUAUAAUUAUUAAUAUUUUUUAUAUUUUUUAAUAAUUUACUUGAUUUAAAUCGAACAGACUCAAAAUCGACAGUUUAGUUGGUUUGAUCACUGAUCCGAUUUUAUUAAUUUUUUAAAGAUUUUAUUUUUAAUUACAUUAAUUAACAUAAAAUAACAUUUUUUAUUUAAAUUAUUGGAUAAAAUUAAAAUAUAUUAACUUAUUAUAAAUAUAUAUAUUUCUUACAUUAUUUUUUUGUUAAUGUUACACAAUUAUAUAUAUAUGCUGGAAGUAAUGGAUGCUCAAUUAUCUGUCAAUAUGCAGCCUUGAUUGGAUUUGUGUUUUUGUAUGUUUCAAAUAGUUUGUUUAUUUGUAGGGAAAAUCUGAAAAAGAAUAUGAUCAAUCAGAGGGGUUCCGACAGGAGUUGAAAUUGAAGGUUCGAGAGUUGUUGAUAGAGUAGUAAUGGCAUCGGAGAAAAAUGGCGAUAAGGGUAUCUUCAGAUAUCUGAAGAAGUUCAAUAAAAGAAGGAUGAAGAAGAGCAAAACGAGAUGUGGAUAAUUAGGGUUACCUUUCUUUUGAUUUAUGGUAUCCCUGUUUGGGGGCCUUUUUUAUUAAUGAAUUCAUCGACUUAGAAAAAAAAAAAAGCCAUGUCCAGAACUUGUAUAAUAAAUACCUUCAAGAGGUCAAAAAACAUUGAGUGAAACAAGUAUGAAUUCUUGGGCGACCACAAGACCCCACCAAUGUGACAAAUAGAGAAGCCAAAGGUUAUCAAUCAAGAGAAAUAGUUUCAGGAGUGUUGGAAACUAGAAAGAUGAAUUUAAUGGAAAAGUUUCACUGUUGGAUGUAAUUGUCCUAGGCAUUGAACUACUAGGAUUGGACUCCCAUGAAUGGAUUAUGUCAUCUAUUUCAUAUUCUUCAUCACCAUGGUCUUCAAUAAUAUUUCCACCUGAAGCUUUAAUCAACUCCAGCUCCAUUGCAACUUGUUUCAUGGUGGGUCUUUUCUUUCCAUUAAGAUUCAAGCAUCUUUUUGCUAGAAGAGCCACAACUAUAAUCUCCUGCUCUGGACCAUCCUUUACUACCAUUAGAUCGAGAAUGUUAAAUAAGGAAUUCUCUUGCAUUGAAUCCAAAAAAUAAGAUACCAAGCUUCUCACUGGCUCUGAUUGUUCUGCGGAGAUGGGUUUUUGUCCUGUUAAAAGCUCAAUAAGAACAACUCCAAAGCUAUAAACAUCACUCUUCUCUGUAAAUUGACUUGAUCGAAAAUAUUCCGGAUCCAUGUAUCCAAAAGUUCCUUGCACCCGAGUGGUUAGAUGUGUUUGUUCAAGUGCAACUGAUUUUGAAGAUCCAAAAUCUGAUACUUUUGCCCUAUAUUUAUCAUCCAAAAGUAUGUUACUAGAUUUGAUGUCUCGAUGAUAAAUAGGAGCAGAAGCAGCUGAAUGCAAAUAGAACAAGGCAUUGGCAAUUUCAAUCGCAAUUCGUAAACGCAUUUCCCAUGUCAAUGGUAAUUCUUCAUUUUGGUUAUGAAUGAGAUCGUAUAAUGUACCAUUUGGGAUGAACUCAUACACCAAUAGAGGAACUUCAGCUUCUAAACAACACCCUAAAAGCUUAACCACAUUCCUGUGAUUAAUUUGAGAUAAAAUGAUCACCUCGUUAAUGAACUGUUCAACCUUCUUUUCAUCAAAUUUCUUUCCUUCCACCAUUUUGGAUUUCUUAAUAGCCACAAUGCUUCCAUCUAUUAGCAUUCCUUUAUAAACAGUCCCUUGACCUCCUUGACCAAGGAUUCGAUUCUCAUUAUAAUGAUUGGUGGCCUUUUCCAUCUCUUUUGAAGUAAACAACUUAAUUUUUUCAACAUUACCUUCAUUGCUAGACAAAUGUUGUUGCAGUAACAAACCUCCAUUCCUUUUGAAGUAUUUCUGCUUCAGCAUGAUUUUUUGUUUUCUUUUGAGGACUUUGUACAUACUCCAUGUUGCGAGUAGUAGAAAUAGUGUCCCAACACUAGUGCUGCAACCUACAUAGAUAUAAGAAACAUAGUUAAAAGGUAAAUUUGAAAAAUAAAGUACAUGUUAAAAAACCAUGAAAAUGUUUCGAUAAAGUUUUAUUCAAAUUUGAUAGCCCAAUGAAGAAUGAGUGAACCUUAUUGCACCAUCCAUUGUUUUGAUAUUGAACUUUUACAAAUUUAAUGAUAAAUAACUAUUACUGCAUCACACAUUCAAAAGUAAAUAUAUUAUUGCUUAAACUAAAAUAAUUCAAUAACCAUAAUGAUUCCACUUUAAAAACAAAUACGUACCUACAAUAAUGCUUGUCAAGCUAUGCUUUUUUUGAGUAUGUAUUUUGCGCUCACAACGAAAUCCCGUACUAUUGAAUUCAUAAUGAGGAGGGCAAGACUUUGAGGAGCAAUAGUUACUAGGGAUAUUCAAACAAAGCAUGCUGCAAUACUUAUAAUUCUCACAUUUCUCAUCUGUCAUUUAUGAAUUGAAUAAAAAGAUAUUAGAAUCAUAUAAUUCGGUUAAAGUAUUUGAAAGGUCUUUCUAUUAAACGGAUUUGAUCAAAUUAGUUUUUAUAUUAUUAAAUGGAUCAAUUUAGCCUCUAUACUAUUAAAAAAAUAAAAAAAAAAGUUUAAAUUAUAACAUUAUUAACAUUUACUACAUAAAAAAUAUCUUGAAAAUUAUUUUUUUUCAAUUUCUGUUCAAUUUCAAACAACAUAUUUCAUUUGCAAACCAUAAAAACUUUAAAAAUAAUUAACUCUAUUAAAGAGUAAAUGAAUUUUUAAAUACUAAAUGUUAAGUAUAUUCUAAUUUAGCCUUAUUUAAUUUUUUUUAUAGUAGAGGGAUUAAUUUGAUUAAGUUCUAGUGGGACUCUCAGGUAUAUUUAAUUAUUUUUAAUAGUAGAGAGAUUAAUUUGAUUAAGUUCUAGUGGGACUCUAGGUAUAUUCAUUCGUAUAAUUCAAUAGAUAUUAAUUUAGUAAUGCAAACCAAAAUAGAAGUUAUUUUGAUAUCUAAUUUCAUUUUCCUUUUUGUUGGUUCAAAUUAUGCUUAGGAGUAUUCUAGCAAUAUGUACGCAGAACCAUUAUUUAGUUGAUUGAGAUUUAGUUAAAUUAGCAUUACUCUUAAUUAUUGUAACAGUUAAAAUGAGUUCAAAUGUGAUUAAAUUUGAAAGUUAAAUACAAUUAUCAAAAACAAAAAACAAAAACGUAUAGUAGUUUUGUUUAAGAGGGAUGGAUAAUUUUUUAAUAUAUAUAUUGAAGGUUAAUAUUUUGACAAUUCAUUCACUGAAUUUAAUAUUUUAUUCAUAUAGAUCGUGCAUGUCAAAUUUGACGUAAAUUAAAAAUUUCCAACCUUUCAUUUUAUGUAAAAAAUAUUCAGUCUAUGAAUAUAUUGAGUAUUGUAGAUCAAUAUGAUAGAGAUAUCGGAUGGGUUCGAAAAUUUACAUGCAUGACAAAUACAAUUAUAUCUAUAAAUUCAACGGUUGGACUGUUAAAAUAUUAAUCGUAUAAAGAGAUAUGAAAGAGUGUAAAACUGAUGUUGUUUUAAAAAAUUUAUGUAACAAUUUAUUUAUUAAAAAAUGAUAUAAAAAAUAGGAGUUUGAUUGAAAUGGUAAAGUUAAGAUAUUAGCUAUCAUGGUGCCUUUGUUCAAAUUUCAUUACACUCAUUUUUCUAGAUUUUACAUAAAUUAUAAAAUAACAAAAAUACUCUCAUAAUAAUAUUUGUUCUUGUAUAAAAGUAAUAAAUUUUCAUAAUUUCUCAAUCGAGUUGAAACUCAAUUGAUGAGUGACACCAAAUCAAUUAACCUAUUAAAGAAUAGUACUGUUUUAAGGCACACCCAUGAUGUGAGCGGAAAACAUUAUGUAAUAAACAUAUUGAAUUAAAGCUUAUAUAAGAAUCAAAUGAAUCGUAAUGAUAAAGUUAAAUAUUAAAAUUUAUUGUGUGAAAGAUUCAAAUGUCACCAUGUUAGAUUUAUUAUGAAUUUUAUAUAAAAAAAAUAGAAAAAAAAUAGAAUACCCUUAAAAUAAUAUAAAUUAACUUGUAUAUAAAAAUAUUUUAAUAAUUUUUCGAUUGAAAUAUACCUAUAAGCAAAUAUAAUAUAGAUAUAAGAAAAAAAAGUUCCCAAAAAAAAACAUUAAUUUGUACCUUGGCAUGAGCUCGAAUCACCGAAAUCAUUGCUGUAGCAUACACAUAGAUGUUUAUAGCUCAACUUCGACCAACAAUAUUGACCAUCGGAUGUACAAUAAGUGUCCGAGCUAUCAUUCAAAUGGCACACUCCAAAUAUUGGUGUGCCCCAUUGCAGUCGUGUUGGGACAUACGCCCUAUUACUUAUAUCAAACUUCAGAUCAUAGUUAUAAGAAAUCAUGGAAGCAAACCCGCAUGAUCUUUUUCUCCUAUAAUCACUAUUACUCAUGUUUACGUAGAAUGAUCUGAGACCUUGAGGAAUAUUAAUAAGACAACCAUCAGUAGAGGAAGUCUCAUUAUUAAUCCUACAGCUUGGUUGCAAACAUCCACCUAUAAGAUUAUAUGUUUUGUUGAAAACAGUAACCAUAUUACCGCAACCUGAAGACCAAAAUUUGUUGUAGGAAUCUGAGUAGUAAAAAGGGGUGCCUGUUAGAUUGAGACUCAUCCCAUUAUGAUGGUUUUUGCGACAGUUAAAGUAAGUUAUUGGAUGGUUGAUUGUGACAGUACCGUAAAAAAAAUCAAAGGCUAGUAUUUUUAGAUUCGUGCCACUUAUAUUUAAGAAAGGCCCUUUUUUUCCAUUGGUGGUUUUGUCGCAAAUUACUUUAAACCAGUCUUUGGGAUCAUCUUGGCCCUUCACUCUAAAGGGGUAGUUAAAAGUAACAUUCCCACAUGACUCUACCUUGUAGAAGUUGAUGGAUACGCAUCCUGCAGGCUUAGCAAAAAGGAAGUAAAUUGCAAAAUCUACUAAAUGUAUAUACAUCUAAUAUUUGUAGAAAAUAAAAGCAACGUGUCAUUCAAAAAACAAAAAAUAUAUAAUUAUCGAAGCUACAUAUGAAAAGUGUUACUCUUAAUUAAGUUUAUGUGUUAUUUGUCACAUUAAAUUCAAUAAAACUUUCUUAUUAUCAAUAUAAAUUUUAUGGUUGAAUUUGAUGUCAUACAAUAUUUCUAAUUAAAAAUAUGUUUAAGGGUGUAAAAAGCCCUCAAACUUUUUUAAAAAAAAGUAAUUAAGUUUCUAUUUUUGUUUUUUGUACUCAAUUAAAUACUUGAAUUGUCAAAAUGCAUCAAAAAGUCUUUUAACCAUUAAAGUUAACUGCCCCUAGUUUUUUUUUUUUCAGUUAAAACUACCAUGUGUCAUAACCAUAGCGUGAUAUGUGACAAAGAAUGAUAAAAAAAUAAAAAUCAAUUAAAGAUAUAAAAAUUAUUAAAUUUUAAUAAAAAUAUUUAAAAGUUAUUAAAAAUUAGAAAAAAAAUUGUAAAAAAAUUGUAAAAUUUUAUAAAAAUAAUUAAAAAUUUAUCAAAUAUAUAGAAAUAUAGAAAAAUCAUAUAAUUUUAUAAAGUCGUAAGAAAAUUAUAAAAAUGUAAAGAAAUAUAAAAUUUUUAAAAAAUUAUAAAAACUAUUGUAUCUUGAUUUUAUAGCUAUUAAAUUUUAAUAAUUUUUAUUUCUUUUAUUGAUUUUUACUUUUUAUUAUUUUUUACCACAUGCCACGUCAUGUUGACACAUCAUAGCUUUAACUGAAAAAAGAAAAAGAAAUUAAGGGUUAUUAACUUUAACAGUCAACGAUUAAAGUUAACUGUCAAAUGGCCUUUUUAUCCAUUUUGAUAGCAUAAAAGCUUAAUUGCUUUUGUUUAAAAAGUUUUAAUUACUUUUUACACCCUUAAACUUUAAAAAUACUUCCUUUUUCUUUUUAUCCAUUUAUCGCGGGUUUUCUCUUUUUACAUAAUAAUAUUCUAAAUAUUAAAUUCUUAUACUAAUGUAUAAUUCAACUUAUGAUCAUUUCAAAUUUUUUUAUGGAACUAAUGAUUCAAUUUUCAAAAUAAAUGGACUUCAUUUAAAACAAAAUUGUGUAAAUCAUGAAAUGAAUGGAAACAUAAUAAAAUGUAAUAAAAAAUAAAAAUGGAUAAAACGAACAUGAAGCCAGCGGUGUCCUUAGUCCAACAAAUUAGUAAACUACACCUUUCUGCCUCUCUCAAAAGAAUUAAUAAUUUAGCAUAAACACUUUAACCCUUGAAUAAAUAUGUAAAUUUACAUUUUUAAACUCCUCUAAAAAAUAAUAAUUUAAUCUCAUUUAAGUAUUAAUUUAACUGAAUUAAAAGAAGAAAAAUGAAAGCCAAGCAAUUGAAAUGACAGCGCGUGACUGACCUCCUUCACCGCAAUAGCUGGAAUUCCAGUUGAGCACGGCGGGAACAUGCGUGGUUCCAUUAUUGAUGCCACUGGGUAAUGGGUAAGCAUCACGGAAAGAGUACUUGCUAAAGAUGAAAGCAGAUGCGCAUCCUUUGCUGUCAGGAUACAUGGCUCUCAUUUUUACGGUAUAGGAAGUGAGAUUUGCAGUAAUUUCAGUAAAGCAGCCAGAUUCAGAAGCACCAUCGUCACACCUUGGUUGACUGCAGCCGCCAAGUGAAACAGCUUCGCUACGUAAAAUAGUAGCCAAAUUUCCGCAACCUACUGACCCGAAAUAAUUCAUAUCACUUGAGAAGAAAAAAGGAGUGCCUGAGAGAUUGACCCUCACACUAGCCUCGUUUAUACGAUCACAAUUAAAGUAUGUAACUGGAUAGCUGAUGAGAAUGGCGUUUGAAUAUAAGGAUUUUCCAAGUACCUCCAGAUCGAUGCCCUUUACGGUUAUGAAAGGCUUGGCCCCAUUGAGGGUUUGGUUGCAAGUUACACUAAACGAAGGAUGAGUAUAGCAUCUGCUGUGGAUUCCAAAAGGGGAUGGAAUUGUAAUAUUUCCACAUACUUCUUUACCACAGGUAGGUUCUUGAGACUCUGCUGCUUGUAAAAUUGGGCACAACAGGAAGAGGAAGAGGAGUAGGAGAAUGAAGUAAAGCGGUAAGUGAAAACCCAUUUGCGUUGUUAUUUUGUUUGAGGGAAAUGAAUGAAGAAGUCACUAAUAGAUUUUAAAGAAACAAAUGAUGCUUGACUGAUAAGCAAAUGAAAAGUCUUUGUUCACACUUUCCUUGAAAACUUUUAAAUAUUUUAAGUCAUAACGUAAAAUAGAAAGAUUGCUAUUAUAGAUUAAGUACUCAUUAGUUCAAUUCUACUGACAAGUGAAUGAAAGAAAUGAAAGAAAACUUGUCUAAGUAUUAAAUCUAGCUCAUACAAAAUUAAAAUCAAAUGAUACAACAGUUGAAGAUACUUGUGAUUAUAGUAAAUUUUAAUCAGUUUUGUACUUUAUUUUUUAAUCAAUCAAAUAGAUAUAUUUAUUAUUAAUUGUUAUGUAUAUACGAUCCUGGUUGUCGAUAAAGGCAGAAGGGAGGAGAUAGCCCCUUGCCCAAAAUAAAGAACAUUAUCCUUAAUGAGUGAUAGCAAAGGUGAUUGUUGUUUACAACAACUUGAGAAGAAAUUUUCAAGUAUUUUCAAUGGAAAAGUAUAUACACAAAAUGAUAGAAAAGGCGUUGAUCAACAUCUCUAAAUGGUUAAAUCAAAUUAAAGAUGGAAUCGUCAUGACAUCAACAUCUUAUUACUAAAGGAAAUAACUUGAAGCCAACGCCAAUUUGUAAUCAUGUUAGUAUAUAUGAGUAAUAAUUUUGUUAAUUAAUUAUCGAUAAAUUUUCUAAUUAAUUUUAAAUUAGCACUUAGUACACCUACAUCAUGUUCUGGGUGCUCCGUACGUUUUUACUAAGUAAUGAUUUUCCAAUUUCGAUUUAAGACAAAUUGCAAUUUCGGAUUCAAAUUAUAUAAGAAAUUUUCCCUUCUAAAAAAAAUUGAAAACGCCAAAACUUAAUCCAAUUUAAUUGCUAAGAAAAAUGGCUCUGACGCUGAAUUAAGCCUAUGAAAUUAGCAUAAAUUGAUAAAUUUUCUUUGCAAUUGUUUGGAAAUAAAAACAAGCAGGUGAUUGGCUCAUGUUGGUUUUGGUGAGAAAGUAAAAUAGCAGCCAACAUGCAUGCAUUUGUUUUUGUGGAAAAUUAAAUUAAAACCAAGGAGGAAUCAUUAUCAACAAAUAUGGACCAUAAGAAGAUUCAUUCCUUUUAUUAUAUAUUAUUCAUAUUAACAACAUAGAAAUUUCCAUGAAAAAGUAAGUUCCAUGACAUCCACGGAAGCAAUGACAACAAUUGCAAAAAGACCUUGACUCCUCUAGAAAUCCAUCAGUUUGGAAACUAUAACGUUUAUGCCACAACCAGAUAAACAUUUUAGAAAUAUCUGCUCUCCAAAGUCAUCUUUGUUCAUCUUCAAUUUCGUCCUUAUAUAAACAAAACUCCAACAUAUAGAAAAAGAAAUGAUAGCCCUUGAAAUCCUUAAUAUCCAAACCAUAUUUAAGCAUAAGAAAUUUGCAUAGGUGACGAGAAAACGGAAUCUGAACUUAAUGGGCAAUUUCGUCACAGUCAAGCUAAAGUUUAACAAUUUAGGAUCUUUUAUCUAUAUGGUGUUCCACUUUUAUAUAUGUAUAUUUCCAAGUUUUUCAAUCUGAAUUCGGUUCAAAGAAAAGGAAAUUACUUUAAAUUUGUAUAAUUAAUUGGAUUCAAAAAUAUUUUUUAAUAAUUUGGCAUGCCACAUUAGUAUACUUUCACAUAACUUCUUAUGAAUCUCACAUAACACAUUAUAUGUCAAUUUCUCAUGAAUUUCGUAAACACUGUUAAAUGGAAUAUGUCCACCACCUGCUUAAAUUGAAUUAUUAUAUAACUUAUCCAUUGCUUAGCAAAGGUUGCAUUGCCUACACUUUGGUUCAUCAUGUGCCCACCCCACCCAUUUUAGAUGUUCAUUUUACUAUUUACUUUGAAAAAGAAUAAUCAUCCCAUUUAUUUAUUAAUGUUUUGAAAGAAAAUUCUGUCUAUCCAAUUUAUUGAUGAUGCAUAAAAAUAAUUCCUUAAAGUUUUACUAAUAAAUUUUAAAAAUAAUUCUUUUUGUACAUAUUAUAAAUGUGAAAGGGUACGAAACUCAUGUUUGAAGUCUUGCUAACUCAAUCACUUACUAAAACCAAAUUAAAACAAUUAAUUUUACAGUAGUGGCCAUAUGGCACUUUUUAAUUUCACUUCUAAUAUAUAAAAGUGAAGUCUUUUCUUUCUAUAAUGAAAAAUGAAAAUGUGAGAUAAUAAAAUAAUAUCAUCUAGACUUAAAUUAAACGUAUAUAAAAGGUAUUUAUAUUGAGCUGCAAAAUUAAAUUUCUUUAUUAAAAGACUUUUAUCUAAAUUUUAGGUCUAAUUCAAACAAAAUUAAAUUUAAAUUGUACAAUAGAUGAAGAUACUUGUUAAUUUGAAUUAAUUCUUUGUUUUUUAAUCAAUCAAAUAGGUAUAUAGGCUAUGGAUGCCAUUUACGUUUAUGAAUGGCUUUACCCCAUUGAGGGUUGGGUUGCAAGAUCACUCUAAACCAAGGUUUAGUAUAGCAGGUGCUAUGGAUUCCAAAAGGGGAUGGAAUUGUAAUAUUUCCACAUACUUCUUUACCACAGGCAGGUUCUUGAGAUUCUGCUGCUUGUAAUAUUGGGCACAACAUGAAGAGUAGGAGGAUGAAGUAAAGCGGUAAGUGAAAACCCAUUUGCGUUGUUAUUUGGUUUGAGGGAAAUGAAUGAAGAUUUAAAGAAACAAAGGAUGUUUGAGUGAGAAGCAAAUGAAAAGUAUUUGGUCACACUUUCCUUGAAGUUCCAGUGUAAGUGCAUUUGAUUUGAGAAUAAUUCAUUAAUUUGCAAAGACUGUUGGAUACAAUUUUCCAGCUACACGUAA